UGAGAUACCAAGCAUUAUCAACCAGAGUUUGAACACAGUCCAAGUGAGAUGACUAAUGUAACCAUUUCUCAAAUAUAUAAUCCAGUUGUGCAAGUUUAAAACAAAUUAACAAAGAACCAUUGGAAUUGAUUCUAAAUCUUAAAAGCUAAGAGCCAAAUUAUUUGCAGCUGGUAGAAUUGCACAUGAGGGAGUGAUGGUUGUACUCUUGAUCAAACCAGUAUGUUUUAUCCUCUCCAAAAACAACUGAAAACUGAUGCAAAUAAGAAACGCUGGUACAUGAUUGGAGGAGGAGAGUGGAUCUCUGGCACUUAUUUCAAUCAAAAUAUCUAGCAGACGGUCUAAAAGUUGGUAUAGUUCUGGCCAGAUGUUAUGACACACCAAAGUUAUGGAAAUUGGUUCAGUCUAAAGCCCAUGAAAUGAAUACUCUGGAUGUGGUUUGGAAACUUCUCUUCCAGAAUCAGCGGUUCGAUGAAAGGUAAUAUCCAAAAUAUGGUUUCUACCAUUGAUAAAUGUAGUAACAACAAUUCACUUCCAAAGAUGGUUCACAGGGAUUAACCACCAGUCCCUCAUGACGAAGGAAAAUCUUUUCAAUAGAGGCAGUAGUCAGCAAUAUAAGUGCAUCAUACCAAGUUCCGCUAAGCUGAAGAAGGAUCCAGGGAAGACAUAAAAUGCUCUGGCCUUUUGAUAACAUUACAUAGCCUACCUUAAGCCCAUAGCUAUCCUUUACUGAUGUUACUGGAUCCAUUCAAACUCAUAAACUAUUGAUAUUCAUGGCCGAAACAGAAUGAAAAUACUUGAAGAAGCUCCAAAAUAUGCAUGAUGAAAGCAUUUCAAUCCCAUUUCUAAAUAUCUCUCCUAGCCAAAAAUGAAUAGGUAAAGCUAAAUGGUACCAUAUAAAUAUAACAGCUUUCAAGAAACCAAGUGCUUCACUGCUAAAUACAGAAUCUGCAGAACAAGAACAGAACAAACGUAGAGAACACCAUAGCUAGAUGUAGAAAGAAACAAAUAUAGAUAUGUGCGAUAAGAUGAUACCACCUGUAACUUUGAGGCCAAGAGGUGGUGAUAGAUUUGCUCUCCGGCCUUUCGUCCUCAUUAUCAUUAGAAUAACUGCUAGAAUCAGAAUUAUUUCCAUCUUCACUAUCUUCUUUCUCCAGUGCCUAAAAUCAGUGCUAGCUGCAAAAAAGCUAAGCUCUUCAGAAGCCUAAAAUCAGAACAAAAUUCGCUUAGCAUCAGAGGCAGCAACUAAAGUACAGAACAAAAGAGAGGGUUGCCCCUCUAGAAUUCAACACUUCUCUCUGUAACAUUAUUCAGCAAUAUAGCAGGUUGUUUACAGAAUUUGGACUAUUAAACAACUUUUAUUGCUAGUAACAACAAAGAAAUUUUAAAAUAUAACAGAAAAUCGGCCCUCAAAAAUCUCAAAUACACCACGGGUGCAAAUUAUAUAGCUUUGAACUGUACCUGGCAAAUUCAGAGUUUCAAAGAUAUUCCCUUGCAAUCAGUAACAAAAUUUAACCUUAAUGCACGUAUGACAAUAUGAGCAUAUAAGCAGAGGUGAAUAAGCUACACCCAGAACACUACAUUCCAUUUCCUAUACAUAUCUAUGCACACGCUCACUUUGUUUUGCAUCUUUGCCUGUACAUGAUAUGUAUGCAUAUGUGUAUAAAUACACAUAUACAUAUAUAAUAUGCAUACACACACGUGUAGAUUGAUGCAUAUAUGCAAAUGUCACCAUGGUAUCAGCAAAAAGUGUCUCAUGCGCUGAUUAUCAGAAUUCAACUCUCACUAAGAAACAGAUUAUAUACUUAGAAAAUCACACCAAAAUUUUGGAAGCAUUCAAUUUAAAGCUAUCAACUGCUUUUUUUCAUCAGUAACAACUACUUCUCCAAAGAAUUAACUGAUGUAGAAGCAUCAAACAACUCAAAUCUUUACCUACAAAAUGAGCUGGCUGAUAGAAAUGAACAUCACAUCUCAUUGAUGCUUCUUGUUAAUGCUGCAAAACAGCCAAUGUUCCACUAACAUUCGGCUAAGGCUUGAAUAAUCAACAACCAGUUCUAGUAAAUAAAUUGACUUCAAUUUACAACCAAACUCUGUUAGAAACCAUCUAUUCAGUUCUCUAAUACAGUCUUUCGACUAAUUUUGCCGGAAUAAAACCGAUAGAAACGAAUAGAUAUUCAAACUUGGAAGAGUGAUAUAUGUUAAAAGUCUCUAUCACUCCAGUUAGGGUCUGUGUACACCUCUGAAUUCAGUAAACUUGAAAAAAAAAUAGACAAAAAUAGAGUCACUUUCCUAUAAUAGAACUCCAAGAAUUACAUGUUAUCAAUAAAAUUUCCAUUUAUUCGUGAUCUAGGCAUAGGUAGCAAUCCAUUCUAUAAUUCUUCUCAUUACCUCUCGCGAGAAAAUGAUCCCACUAAAGAAAAGAAUUGUACAGUACGAAAUAACAUAAAAACAAAUUUAUUAAAAAAAGAUAUGGACCCUUUCCUUUCUUCCAAUUCUUCCUUUUUUGACAGGAAUCAAUAAGAACUAUUUGAACCCGAUUAGAUUUCAUCCAAAUGUACUACAAUUGUAGUAGUAUAACAUAUCAACGAAAAGAACUAUGUCAAUUUCUUCAAUUUCAUGCAAUUAUGAUCCAAAGAAGAAAAAAGAUCGACUAAUCGUUCUAUGAUGAAAAAUUUUCGAUUUUUAUAGUGAAAAUGGAUUAGUCGUACCUAUACAAUAAUCUAUUAUUAAUAUGAAUGACUCGUCAUUCACUCGGUUUGGAAUCAUAAUCAUUAUAUAGGAGAGAUGGCCGAGUGGUUCAAGGCGUAGCAUUGGAACUGCUAUGUAGAACUCCAAGAAUUACAUGUAACUCCCUAUAAAAAAACUGUAAUCACUGACCAGCUAGUUCAAGCUUCUGUCUACAUCUUGGGUUUAUAAGUCCAAACCAUCUGCAGCAGAAAAUUAGAAUCCUAAACAUUAGAAACAAAGGAAAUCUGAUAGUAGCAAAACUAACAAAACGAAUACCCAUUCAGCAGAUACAAGUUUUUACAGUACGGCAAUUAAGAAAAAAUUUCUUUAGAAACAAGAAACACACGUGACCUUGAAAAUUUUCUUGUAGCAGUAUAUGCUCAAUAAAACAAUGAAUAUCAAGCUGAUGUGUGUACCUUCUCAAAAGUAGAUGUACAGGCUUGGAGCAAGCUACUUCGUUCUCCCAAACUCACUGGGUUCUGUUUAUUUACUCUUCCACAUCCUAUUCCUCUGCUUCCUCCACAUCCAAAAUACCAAUAAGGAAAAUUCUAAACCUUUUUUUUUUUUGCAAAAUCAACAGCAUGAUUACAAAAUCAAGCCCUUUUUACAAAAAAGAAAAACAAAGAGACCAAAAAAGAAGUCUUUUUGAGUACAAUGCAUUGUUAAUGAGUAUAAUGCAUAACCAUUAUGAGAAAAGAUAUCCUCCCCAAGAAUAAUUCAAACUGAACCUCCCAGCUUCAUAUAUGAUUCAGAAAUUGGUAAAAUUAACAAUUUCAACAUGCACCAAAACUUCGUCAAAACCACAAAUAGCACAUAAAUCAGAAAUUUGAAAUUCAAAGUUAAGGUAAUCUAGAAACAUGACCGCAAAAUAAAAAGAAAAGACGAUAACCUGAAAAGCUAAAUCUUUUUCUCCUUUUUAGUAUUUCCUUGUGAUUUUCCUCAAUCUAUCAAAUAGGCGGCAAUCUAAGAUUAUGAGGACAGAAAACUAAAGAAGUAAGCAAAAAUUUAAGAAAUGAAAGGAAGCAGAAACUUGAAGGUCCAAUCUAGUGUAAAAUUGGAAAAAUGACAGGGAAAUAAAUCAAAAAAAUUCACAACCUGAAAAGUUAAAUUUUUUUUCUCCUUUCAGUAGAUAUUCCUUCCAUUUUUUCAAACUGUUUUCACAUUUAAAUACUAUAACGUUGAGAUACCAAGAACCAUACACCACAUACAUUAAACAAAAUGACUUCACCAAUAAUGACUAACCAUAGAAAAAAGGGUUUUAAAAAUCUCAUUUGGCAAAUUCACAUACAAAGGAAAUAAAAGCACAAGUAAGAUAUUGUCAAUAAUAUUAAAAAAAAAACCAAAAAGUAUAAAUAAACAUUAUUAUCAGACUAAACUUGGCUGUUUUAUCUUACAAUUACUACGGGCAGAAUCGACUACUAUUGUAGGCAAUGAACCACAUAGUUCAGUUGUCAACUCUGCUUUACCCAACUUGCUCACAAACGCUUCUAGAACAAAGGCCACGUAAUUAAAUGAUAAUGCUCAAAAUGUAAAAGCAUUUGCUAAAAAUUUGAUCUUCUAGUUUUUAAAACAUUAAUGAGAUGUUAUGAAGAUUAAGAUGCAAAGAAGAAAAGUAAGUUUGUAAAAUCUACCCAAUAAAUUGAAGAAACAAAAUGUCCAACCUAACCAUGCUAUAAUAAUAACCAAAGUAAUAGGCUCUUUGAAGAGCUAAGAGAACUGGAAAAAAGAAAAAAGAAAUAACAGGCCAGAAAAGAAAUUACCCCAGUCCAAAUCAUAAUUCGAGAGUAGAAAAGGCAAAGAAAAUUAUAAGGCACAACUAUUCAAUAUGUUAUUUUUAACUUUCACAAGCAAAUGUAUCAACCCCGUGGAAGUUUCUAUUCUAACUUCCUAACCUUCAACCAGCACCUUCUUGUUGAGGAAAACAAUCUCUUCAUAGAACAAAUAAACAAAAGAACGCAAUUAGUAUAAUAAUCUAAAUAUGUUAAUUUUCCUAUCAGCAUAUAAAUUUAAGAAUUUAGGGAAGGGAAAAAAAUUCUCUUAUUCAGGGAAAAAAUAAAAAAAAAGGGAUAAAUCAAUUUAAGUCCAUUGAAAUAAAUGAAGUUUUUUUGUCCAAAAAAGAAACCAAUAACAAAAUCAAAAUUUUUGAAAAAAAGGGGGACCCAGUACAUUAGGCAUUAGAAUCCGCCAAGAAAUGAGGGAAAAAUUACACUACAAUCAGAGCGGCAGACAAAAUUUGCAAGCCCAAAAAUAACGGCGAGAAAAGUGGAGUUGUAUAAAGCAUUAAGGAAACCACCGGGAAAAGUAGAAGCUUGUAGUGUAAAAUUGAUGUUGAACCCAUAGCCAAAUAUUUUAAAGCAAAACAGGAAAUCUUUUAUGACUUCCGGCAAGGGUGAUUUACCAUACAUAUAGAUUGAAAGCGAAACAAGGUAAAAGAUACUUAAAACCAUGAAACUUUCCUCAAAUUUCUGUAAAAUUAUUGAGUUUUUAUGAAUUUUGAUGCAUUACAUGGUUAAAAGAAAUUACCUAAGCAACGCAAGAAAACAACCCAAAAAUAAUGAAAUUGAAGUUCACCUCAGGAAAUUUCCUUUCCUCUCCAAAAAUGGUACAAGAAAGACAGUAGCAGCUGCAUAGACCUAGAGAAUGAAGAAACCCAAAAUUAUUUAAGGAAAAUGAUAAAGCUGAACGAAGAAACAAAGAAAAGCCAAAAUUUUGUUUAAGUAGAAAAUAAAUCAAAAUAUCAUACCAAGAAAAUGCGCGAGGCCUUCAAGACCUUCUGGAUCACUAAAAGAACCUACUCCAACAUUCAUUAAAUACUAAAUCAACAAAAGAAAUUAAGCAGGGUGAAAAAGAAGAAACCGAUGGAUUGAAAUUUAGUACCUUAUCAGUUUCUGGAUAGCUGAUGAGGAGGACCUCGAGAGCGUUGUGAAGAACGAUUCUUCGGUAGUCUCUUUUGUCGGUGCGAGGAUUCACGAUCCCUCUGACUUCCUGCUCGUUCCUGGCUCCAAACGCCAUUUUUCUUCUCGGCAGGAACCAGAGACAGAGAGAGCGAGAAGAAGCUGAGAAGAACAAUAAGCUGGAAAGCGAGCAAAACCAACAGAACAGGAGAAGAGAAGGCUCAAUUUUCUAAAGUCUGACAGCAAAAGUAAAAAGCUAUUGUAAAAUGACUAUGUUAGACAUAAGUUGAAAAUAUAUAGUCCAUUCAAUGAGUAUUUUGAAGGAGCAAAAUGUAAUUAAACAACGCAAAAUGAGCUGGCUCCAAAAAAUGAACAUUACGUCUCAUUAAUGCUUCUUGUUAAUGCUGCAAACACCCAAUGUUCCACUAAGAGGCUAAGACUUGCAAUAAGCAGAUGAAGUGAGCAGAUGAAAAGCUAAAAGGACAAAAAUGCCCUGAAGUGAGCAGAUGAAAUUGCAAUGAAUAGGAACCCAAAGCGCCUUCUUAUAUAUUAUAAAGAUAUAUGUAAUAUAAAAAUUUAUAUUAUAUAAUAAUACAUCUAACUAAUAAUUAUAUUAUAAAACAAUACAAUAAGUCUUGUUAAGUUAGUUGUAUAUUAUGUUAUAACUAUAAACUUAUAUUAUACAAAAAUUGGCAUUUAGUUUAGCAAAACUUACAUAUAAUUACCGAAUUAGGUGAAAUCGGUUGUUACCAACUUUCGAAUUCGGAACGAAUUUGAAUUUAGAAUUUGUGAAAUCAAAUUUGAAAUCGAUCGAAUUUUCCAAUGUCCAAAUUUUCAAAAAUUCCAAAUUCAAAGUUCCAAAUUACUGAAUUUAAUUUCGAUGCACACUCCUGUCGAGCAAUUUGAACAGAAAAAAGAGCUUAUGUACAGAGGUAAGCUAUACUAGUUUGAUUUUAUGGCUUUUAUUUUCACAUUUCUUUUGUUAUUCACUUCUUAUUUUUCUUGUGUCGCAUUAUAGUUUGAUAGGUACCUAUAUCUUGGGAGAAUACAAGCCAAAUAAUACUUAUGAGGGCACGUAGAAGGUAUUUGUCAAUUUCUUGCUUAUUUUGUGUGGCAAGGUAAAAGGAAAAGUAGUAGCAGCCAAGUUUUAUGCUAAAAACCGUGUUAAUUAAGGAUUUGUGAUGAAAGAGGAGUUAAAACAAAGUCAUUGCUCAUGUUUACUUUUCUUCACCAUUAGUUCUUCUCAAAAAAAGUUGAAAAAUCUUUGCUUUUCACAAGAGGGAUAACAGUUAGAACAUGGUUAGGCAAUUGACAUAUUAUGAAUCCACUUUGCAAAUCCUUUUUGGAAAGCCUCAACCCAUUCGUCAUCAACCACUACCUUAACCAAGUUGGAAGAGCAAUAAUGGAAUAAUUUGGAAAAUGGAAAAUCAAUCAUGAACACAGUCAUCCAAUCCACUCUCUAGACUCGGUCAUGCUCCACAUGGAAAUGUUAUCUACUGUCAUCACCCAAAAGCAAAAAAGGUAACAUGCAUGUUCAAGGUUCGACACUUGAAGAGCUUGCCUUCGCCUUUUAAGGAUUUUCCUUUCUUUUCUAAAAGAAUCAAGACCAAACAUGUUUUUAAGAGAACAAUUUCCCAAUAGUUCCAUCCAUCCAAAGAAUUGAAAAUCAAGACCAUAGUCGUAUAUUAACUGUCAUCUAGCCAAAGAACUGAAAACUUGGGCCACAAUCAUGUUUAUUUACUCUACUACUGCUUUCAAGUUAAGAUGAAUCAUGAAUUAGUUGACCAGUAACAAUUGGUCAAUUAGGAAUGCUAUUCGACUACAACAAUGAAGGUUAUACAUCUCAUAUUUGCUCAGGAAAUAUUUACAAAUACUGCACGAAGAUGCUAAAAAUGUUAUCUACUAAAGUGUGGGUCUAUUAAUUGCUGAGGCAUUACACCUAAUCAGUUAAAUUGAAAAUCGCAUUCUGAGAGUUCAUAAUUCAAUUCCAGAAUUUCCAUACCUGGCAAAAAGCCUGAAAUGUAACUGUUUGGACAUCUCAAAAAUGGACAGAGGCCAUUUCCGGCCACUAAAAAGUCAACCACCAUGUUCAAAUGCUGAAGCAAACAUACUACUUGUAAGUUGCAACCACAGUUAAAUUAGCAAUAAUUCCAAUAUUAUACACAAGCAAUUUUACACAAACCAGACAUCUGUUAAGCCCAUUUCCCUCGUGGCCCAUCCGUAUCACAAAAUCCCAUUAAGGGUCAGCACAAAAUAUCAAGUAUGAAAACCAAAUUUGAAGGAAAACAUAAUGGUCCUCCUCUACCUAGCAAGGAAAGUUUCAUUCUUUUGAAUAUGCAAGAACAACAUCUUCAGAAUGGCAAUUGUUUGUCUAUCAGAGCAAAAAACUGGCAACAGAACUUUGAUAACAGUUCAAAGAAAGCAUACAAAACUCGUUGAAAAUCUACUCCAUAACAGCAACUCCCCCUACAGCCUUGAUUUUCUCUAUAAUAUCAUUUGCCUCUUCUUUAGUGAUACCUUGCUUAAUUAAAACUGGUACUUUCUCAACUAAAUCUUUGGCUUCCUUCAACCCCAAAUUUGUGAAAGCACGAACCUCUUUGAUCACCUUAAUUUUUGCAGCAGCAUCAAACUUUUCUAACUUGACAUCAAAUGCAGUUUUUUCUACCUUCUUCUCCUCAGCCUUUGAAGACCCAACGCCAGACCCUCCCUGAGGACCCAAGUCCAUGCCCUCCACUAAAACUGGUUGAAUCUUAGGAUGCCUUAGUCUGUCUCUAAGUGUGGACCAAUCACAUUACGCUCUUCAGGAGACAGGGCGCAAUCUGUUCUGCAAGCCGAAUGAUCUUAUCUAAAGGUGGGGGUCUAGGGCCAUAAGGAUCAUAGAAAGCAGGAUACUUGUGUCUUACGGGCUUCGAUUUGGGAUCCCUGGGAAUGAAAUCAGGCUGAAAUGCACGAGACUGUAGAGGGCCGGUAACCACACGAAGAGCGGAUAGCUACGCAAGGAUUUGAAAACUACAGAAAGCUUCAUGGUUUGAAGAUAGUUACAAAAAAAUAAAUAUUUAAGGAUGAUUUCUGGCGGAGCAGUGCCCUUUGGCACUUGUAGCACUAAAUGCAGCAAAUGAAUGUAAUCCUUCCUUCCCGUAUAGAAGCUUCACAUCCUAUUUCAGUGAGCUUCUCACCUUAAGAAAAAAAUGGGGAAGAUGUCAGUCUCAUUCAUAUUUUCAGGGACUAUCAUCUCAUUUCUGGAAUAUGGAAAUCCUACUGGUAUAAGAAGACUAAUCAACAAUAUGACAUCCAGUAUUGCAAGCCAUUUACCACUCAUAAAUUUUCAGUCCAUCAAUCAGAUGCCAUUGGCUAGCAUGCUUGAUAAAUAUUUUUUGCAUGAAUGUGCUUUGGGAAAAAGACCACAUGCAAGAAUGCUUUGGUAAAUGGUAGCAUUCUAGGAAUUGACUUCCAUGCAUAUACCCAGAGCAUGGCAGACAAGGCAUACAACAAAUAAAUACUAAACAAUGUUUUUUGGAGUAUGUUUUGGUAUUAGGCCGCAUUCUUCUUGCUUGAAAUCAAAUAUUACAAAGGAACAAUCUUUAAAGAGAGUGGUCAACUUAUGGAAUGAACCUAACCCUUCCGAAAAGCUAAUGUGCAAAAUAUACCAAUCGAUUCAAUAUUAAGUACCCUUGCAAGAUUUUCUUGUUCAAAAUCCAAACUAUCCAAUGUCUCAAUAAAUCAAAGGAGAAAGAGAAACUAGGAAAGGCAUUCGAGGGCUUAAGUAAGGAACAAGUGCAAGUACUUUUGGAUUAUUUUCAUUCAUAGUUCACUCACACGCAAAAGAAACCUUAACAGCCAACUUAGGGAAUAAAUCUUACAUCCAUCUUCAUUCAGGUUUCAGACCAGUUCCAGCCAAAAAAUAAAAUAAAAUAACUCAGGCUCCAAAACUAACAAUUUCAUUGAACUUCAAUAGGUCUAAGCACAAAAUAAAAUCCAAUCACCAGAAACAAAUUGUUAUGACAAACGCUAACCGCUAAGAAAUAAAGGACUCUUGAGAGGCACAAUAAGGCAUUAGCAGCGAAAGGUUCACAAGCUACAAUCAAUAUCAAGAAACUAAAACAUAAAUAAAUCAUCCAUUUAACAGGGAGAAAAAAAUCCUUCAUAGCUAAAUAAACAAACAAAUGAACUUACCAAUUUGUUGUUGAUUUUGUGGGUUGCAUAAACUAAUACAGAGAAGGACAGUGAGGAGCGUCUGCGUGUGCAAUCGCGCGUAAGAACCCUGGCGGAUAUUUAAGUGCCCGUUUUGCAAUAAUGCCCUUGAUUUUUUUUUUAUUGAUUUUACUCUUUGGCCCCGUUAUUACUUUACCAUUGUCUGGCUCCUUUAUGGCUAUAUCCAAUCGCCUUGUUUUAUUGUUUACCUUUUUUUUACCUCAUAGGUGUUAGUAAUAAGGGAUAAUUCAAAAACAUCCAGAGAUUUCUCAUAAUAUCACUUAGCUUUCCUGAGAUUUGUGAAAUUUCGCUUACCUCCCCUGUCAGCCGGACAUGACUAAAUAUUCUUAUCAAAUGUCACAAAUUAACAAUAAUACCUUUGCCAUUAUUAAUAACUAUUUAACCAAAAAGUCAAAACAAAAUAAAAUGGUUAAACCAAAAUAUGUAGAUUAAAGUUUUCUGAUAAUGGUCUAUAUUUCUCUAUAUUGAGAUCAUGGUGAGACAGCAAAAGGCAUGGAUAUAUUAAAUCUAGUUAAAAUCAACCACUCAGAAGGAAUUGGUGAGUAAUUAACACCUUGAAAUGUUCUCUUAAUUCUUUGGAUGGAUGGAACUAUUGGGAAAUUGUUCUCUUAAUAAACAUGUUUGGUCUUGAUUCUUCUAGAAAUGAAAGGAAAAUCCUUAAAGGCGAAGGCAAGCUCUUCAAGUGUCGAACCUUGAACACGCAUGUUAACUUUUUUGCUUUUGGGUGAUGACAGUAGAUAACAUUACCAUGUGGAGCAUGACCCGAGAAAGACAAAGGUCUAGAGAGUGCAUGACUCUGUUCAUUGAUUGAUUUUCCACUUCCCAAGUGAUUGCAUUAGUUGAUCUUCCAACUUGGUUAAGGUAGUGGUUGAUGACGAAUGAGUUGAGGCUUUCCAAAAAGGAUUUGCCAACGUGGAUUCAUAAAUUAUUAGGGAUGUAAUCGAGCCAAAUCGAGAUCGGGAGCUCGACUCGACUCAUAUGUACCUAGGCUCAAGCUCGGCUCGAGCUCGACCGAGUCCAAAAAAUCGAUACUCGAGACUUGAUUCGAGAAACUCCCUUUAAGCUCGAGACUCGACUCGAUAAGGCUCGACCUUUAGUCAAACCUUAUCAAGUCGAGUCUAAUCAAACUUUUUGACUCGAUUCGACCAAUGCCGGCUGCUUCUUGCUUAAUAUCAAGCUUAUAUGAACUAUUACUGGGGAAAAUUCUGGCUGACUGGUAGACUGGAAAAAAGGGUGGAACAUAAGUCUGACCAAAAAAGGUGACGUUUUGGGAAGAUCCACAGGCAAGCAAGUAGCUAUCAGUUGGAGUAAAUGAGGCAUAUAAUCCAUGAUUCAUCGAUACAAAUACAACCAAAAGUAUCCACAUUCUACCUCCCACAGUUAGCAUCUUUAACACCCCUAAGUCCUGCAAAAGUACCCAAACUAACCAAAAUUCCCCACAAAAUUCCAAAACUCAGCAAAACAUGAGCUGAGCCACCAAAUUGAGAGACAAACAAUUAUCUUAAACAGCCACAAUAUCCCAACUACCACAAGCUCAAUUCAAGAAACUAAUGCCAAGAUCUAUCCAGAAAUUCCUUUUCCCCACAAAUAUCACUAAUUACUAACUAAAGAAAGCUGCUUUAAACAAGAACAUGUCAGAAAAAUAUAUUCUUGGUUCAGAAAUGGACCAUAGUCCAGCAGAAUUACAAGUGUUUGAACAAGAAUACAAGAUAUAGAAGAAUGAAGUUGAAAACUCUUGUCAUUCAGGAUUCAGCUGCUUCUCCGCACAGUAAGUUAGAUAGCAGUCAGCUCAUAGGGUCUCCCGGUCACUUGGUUUAAGCAAACAUCACAAGUGAUUUUCUGUGAUUCUUACCAAAAAAAAAACAAGUGAUUUUCUGUGACAUGUAUCAGUCUUUCCAGAGCUAAUAAGGUUCGUUCUGUCAUCUCUUACACAUUUUGACAAACAUGUAGCAUGCAUCCCAGUCAUCUUAAAUUUACCCAUAAACAAGAUUGGUGCUUGUUUCCUAUGUUAAGGCUAUUAAAAUCACCAAUAUCCAACAUAAGCCAAAAAGGAGUAUUCCUAUCAAGAUUCCUCUUCUGGACUCAAACACGGUACAUGAAUAUUUGUCAGGGGGCAUCACAAUAUGAUUGGAGUAACCAGAUGCGGUAAUCAAUCAUACUACAUUAGAGCAGAGGCAGACAUACCAGUAACCAGAUGUGGCGAGCUCACUCUGUAGCGAUGGCGAUGGAGUCUGACAGAUGCGGCGAGCAACGGCGUCGGCGACGAGCGAGAGACUGAGAGUAACGGAGAUAGGGUUUAGAUCUAAAUCACUCAGAGUCUGUGGUUGGAAGGGAUGUACUUCGAAUAGAAAUUGAAUUUUUUCUCGAAACAAGUCUGGAAUUUUUCACAAUUUUUUGACACACUUUCCGUCUUUCCUUUCCUUUUUCUAGACAUUUUUUCUUUUUAGGUCUUUUUACAAUUAUAUUAUUAUUUUUUUGUCAUUAUGAAAUUUUAUUACAAAGAAGAGCAUAUUAUAAAUUCAGUAUAACUUAUGUCCAUAAUGGUCAUUUUUUAUAUAUAUAUUAUUUAAAUUAUAAAUAUAUUAUUUAUAAUUCACCCGACUCGACGAGCAGCUCGACAAGUCUCGAGCAUCAAAAUAUUGGCUCGAAACUCGACUCGAAUGACAAUUGAGUAGUUCGAAACUCGGCUCGAACUAGAUCAACCCGAAUUCAAGCCAAGCCGUUGACCGAGGUACUCGCGAGUAGUUCGACUCGCGUACAUCUCUAUUCAUAAUAUGUCAAUUGCCUUCCCAUGUUCUAACUCUUAUCCCUCUUAUGAAAGGCAAAGAUUUUUCAACUUUUUUUUUGAUGUGAAAGAACUAAUGAUGAAGAAAAGUAAACAUGAGCAAUGACUUUGUUUUAACUCCUCUUCCAUCACAAAAUCCUUAAUUAACACGGCUUUUAGCAUAAUACUUGGCUGCGACUACUUUUCCUCUUACCUUGCCACACAAAAUAAGCAAGAAAUUGACAAAUACCCUCUACGUGCCCUCAUAAGUAUUAUUUGGCUUGUAUUCUCCCAAGAUAUAGGUGCCUAUCAAACUAUAAUGCGACACAAGAAAAAGAAGAAGUGAAUAACAAAAUAAAUGUGAAAAUAAAUGCCAUAAAAUCAAACUAGUAUAGCUUACCUCUAUACAUAAGCUCUUUUUUCUGUUCAAAUUACUCAAUAGGAGUGCGCAUUAUAGCUGGCAAUUGGGCGGGUUGAACGGGUUUUGGGCGGAUUAAUAUUGAAUUUUCACUUAAAUGGGUUAUACCUAACCCGUCAAACUUUAGAUUGAAUUGAUUUUGGGUUGGUUCAUAUUGGAUUAUCUCAAAAUCUAUAACCCAAAUAUGACCAAACAUAUUAAUUAAUACAUUUUCAUACAUAAACUUUUUCACAUACAUUUUAACACACAAAAAAGAUUUUUUUCACACAUAUAAACACAUUUUCACAUACAUAAAUGUAUUUCACACACACAAACACACACUCACUUCUUAAGUUCCUUGGAAACAUAUCAUAAAUAGAAUAAUAUUUUAUAUUGCUUGUAUUGUAAAUUUUAGAUAAUAAAUUGUACAUUUAACGAAGAGCAUAGCGCCCCCCCCCCCAACAAAACACCACCUUAAUCUUUUCAAUAAUCUCUUCCAUUGAUCCACUGUCAAUUUUUGUGUCCCUUAAAAAACUUUGAUUUGUGCCGUGCAUCUACUCUUAAUAUAUAAGACAUGUUAUAUAGGGAAUUUAUAUUUGGGAUUGUGUAAGACUCUGCUAGCUUGUUUUGUAUCUUAAUGAGCAACUCUUUGCCGGAUGCCCGAUUAAUUAUGAAUAUGAUAUUUCUAACGAUGCUGUUAAUAGGCUCAUAUUAUAUCAUAAUUUAACAUGUGAAUACACACAAUUACAAUUAUUACACUCCUCAUUUGAAAAAACUUUCUUAAAGUAAUUGUAAUUCUCCGAAAAAUGUAACACCUAAAGAUUCUCUUAAUUAUAGGAAUAUCUAUUAAUUCCAUUAGCCAAACUGUUUGUUUGUUGUUAGAAUUAGGGGGUAAAAUGAUGUGCGUCGUAAGUUUAGUUGAAAUCCCGUUUAUGAGAGGAGAAUUCGUGAACUAUUCUAACAUUUUUACCGCAUUGGGAUCGCAUUAUUUUGAAUUAGUGAAAAAUUAGGCUGCUCCAAAGUAAGCUUUUAUUUGUAAAUUUGAAGAAUCUGAAAUUAUAUAAUGCUGAAAUGUUAGAAAAGAAAUUUGUACAAUAUUAUACGUGCACGAAAUAUUAACAAACAAAAGCAAUCACGAAAUAUUAAAAAGGAAUGCAGUUAGAACACAUUUAAAACUCUAUAUUGCGUACACAAAAUAUUAACAAACAAAAGCAAGUAGCAACUUGAGAACAACCACAAAAAAAAAAGAAAAAAAAUGGGAGGAAAACAACAUAUUCUUAAAAGGCAUAAUAAAUUAUUAUAGAAGUUGAACAAGUUUAACUACUGUUAUAAAAGUAAAAUAAGCAUGAGUUUUUAUUUAAAAUUGAAAAGAAAUAUAUAUAUAUAUAUAUGUAUAUAUAUAUAUAUAUGAGAAUUUUGAAUACAAAUUAAUCAAUGAAUUAUUAACACAUGUUCAAAUACAAAUAGUUGGACAUAUGUGUAUUGAAUAUUGUAGUUAUUAUUUUGAAUUAGGGAAAAUACCGAUUUUCAUCACCAAACAUUGUACACAAGACACAUUUCGUCCCUCAUCUUUCGGACAUGACACAUUUGGUGUCUGAAUUAACAAUUUUUGACCAAAUGUCAUCCUCAGACGACAAUUUAGCCAACCUUUAACGAAACCGAUUUACACGUGACCGUUAAGUAAAUGUGGCUAUCCGAAGCAAAAUCAGGUGGAAAAUGACGUUGUCUUCACUUUCCCUUUUUCUUUCACUUCAACAACUUCUUCUACAAAUUUCCAAGACUAAGCUCCUACUACAAAUUUGUCCGAGAGUAAACCCCCUCUUCCAAUUAUAAAUAUAUAAUUAUAAUUAUAUAAUACACAUAAAUAUUACUUAUACUAAUAUUUUAUAUAAUUAUAAUGUAUAUUAGAUAUUAAAUUUAAUCAUUAUAUAACAUUAUAUUCAUAAUAAUAAAUAUAAAUAUAAUUAUAUAAUUUAUUAAUAUUAUAUACACAUAUAUAUUAUAAGGGAUAAUUUCAGAAACCUCCCCUGAAUUAGCUUAUGGAAAAAUGGGAAAAUGGAUAAUUUAUGGAGGAAACCCAUAAAGAGUUGGUGUUUUAUUGGAGAAUAGGUUUAUUUUUAUUUUAUCCGAUAAAUAAAUUUGUUUAUGAAAAAAUGGGUAUUCUAUUCUUAUAAUGGAGGAAAGCCAUAAAGAGCUGGUGUUUAUUGAAAAACGGGUUUAUUUUUAUUUUAUUCGAUAAAUAAAUUUGUUUAUGAGAAAAAUGGGUACGCUGUUCUUAUAAUGGAGGAAAGCCAUAAAGAGCUUACAGAAAGUGACCGCGAUUUGGUUUAUGAAAUUAUCCCAAAAAAAUUUAGAAUGAAUUUGUUUAUUUAAUUAAAUAGUUAUAAUAUACAUUUAUAUAAUACACUAUAUAAUUAUACUAAUAUUAUUAUAAAAUAUAUAAUUAUAACUAUAUAAUAUAAAUAAAUAUUAAUUAUACUAAUAUAUUAUAUGAUUAUAAAGUAUAUUAUAUAUUAAUUAUAAUUUUUAGUAUAUAUUAGUAUAUUUAUAAUAAUAAAUAUAAUUAUAAUUAAAUAAUAUAUUAUUACUAUAUACACAUAUAUAUUAUAAAUAUAUACACAUAUAAUAUACAUUUAUAAAUAUAUAUAUAUAAAUAUAUUAUAGUUAUUAGGGUAUAGUUAUUAUAGUUAUUACCCUAAAUAUAUUAUAGUUAUUAGGGUAUAUACCCUAAUAAUAUAUUUAUAAAUGUAUAUUAAAUGUGCAUAUAUUUUAAUAUAUAUGUGUAUAUAGUAAUAAUAUAUUAUAUAAUUAUAUUUAUAUUUAUUAUUAUAAAUAUACUAAAAAUUAUAAUUAAUAUAUAAUAUACUUUAUACUCAUAUAAUAUAUAAGUAUAAUUAUAUAACGCAUUAUAUAAAUAUAUAUAUAAUAAUUAUUUAAUUAAAUAAACAAAUUCAUUCUAAAUUUUUUUUGGAUAAUUUCAUAAACCAAAUCGCGGUCACUUUCUGUAAAGUAUCACUUUCCCAUAAAAGACUAGCUCUUUAGGGUUUCUCUCUAUUAUAAGAACAGAGUACCUAUUUUUUCAUAAACAAAUUUAUUUAUUGAAUAAAAUAAAAAUAAACCCGUUCUCCAAUAAAACACCAGUUCUUUAUGGUUUUCCUGCAUAAAUUAUCCAUUUUCCAUUUUUCCAUAAGCUAAUUCAGGGGAGCUUUCUGAAAUUAUCCCUUAUAAUAUAUAUGUGUCUAUAAUAUUAACAAAUUAUAUAAUUAUAUUUAUAUUUAUUAUUAUGCAUAUAAGGUUAUAUAAGGAUUAAAUUUAAUAUCUAAUAUACAUUAUAAUUAUAUAAAAUAUUAGUAUAAGUAAUAUUUAUAUGUAUUAUAUAAUUAUAAUUAUAUAUUCAUAAUUGGAAGAGGGGGUUUACUCUCGGACAUAUUUGCAGUAGGAGUUUAGUCUUGGAAAUUUGCAGAGGAAGUUGUUGAAGUGAAAGAAAAAGGGAAAGUGAAGACAACGUCAUUUUCCACUUGAUUUUGCUUUGGAUAGCCACGUUUACUUAACGGGUUUCACGUGACCGGUUCCGUUAAAGGUUGGCUAAAUUGCCGUCUGAGGAUGACAUUUGGUCAAAAAUUGUUAAUUCAGACACCAAAUGUGUCAUGCCCGAAAGAUGAGGGACGAAAUGUGUCUUGUGUCCAAAGUUUGGGGAUGAAAACCGGUAUUUUCCCUUUUGAAUUACUUUUAAACAAAUUGAGUAUUGGGUACCCAAAUAAAAAACCCAACCUGCCCAAUAAAUAAGUUGGGUUGUUCUUACCCAAUCCAACAAAACCCAUAACCUAAUUGACCCAACCCAUCCUUUAAAAUUAAUGGGCGGGUUGGGUGGGUUAUUAGGUUUUGAACUUUUUUGCUAGCUCUAGUGUGCAUCGAAAUCAAAUUUGGUAAUUUGAAACUUUGAAUUUGAAAUUUUUGGAAUUUUGAAUAUUAGAAAAUUCGAUUGGUUUCAAAUUCUGAAUUCGAAUUCGUUCUGAAUUCAAUUUGAAAGUUGGUAAUAAUCGAUUUCACCUAAUUCGGUAAUUAUAUGUAAGUUUUGCUAAACUAAAUGCCAACUUUUGUAUAAUAUAAGUUUAUAGUUAUAACAUAAUAUACAACUAACUUCAUUAGACUUAUUAUUGUAUUGUUUUAUAAUAUAAUUAUUAGUUAGAUGUAUUCUUAUAUAAUAUAUAUUUUUAUAUUACAUAUAUAUUAAUAUAUAUAUAUAUAUAACACAUAUGAAUUUGAAAUCGAAUUAAGUAUUCGAUUCCGAUCUCGCAUUGUGAAUUCGAAAUCAAAAAUUCCGUUUUGAGAAAACAUAUUCCCAAAUUCAAACCAAACUCAUAUAUUUUGAAAAAAAAAUCCGAUUUCCUUUCCGUUUUUCUCUUUACUGAUUUUGUAAAUUCCCAAAUUUGAAUCGAAUUCGAUCGAUAAAUCGAUUUUUUUAAGUUACACGCUCCUAUAACUCAGAAUGAAUCACGUUUGAACUGGUGGUAAAUUAAGAAUUUUAUUAACUCUAUUUUCACCAAAAAAAAGAAAUUUUAUUAACCCUAUUUUCACCAAGACAAGAAAAAAGAGUUUAUUAUUAACCCCUCAAAUGCAAGUUAUGAGCAUGAUGUCGUUAAGGUAUAAACUUUGGAUCAACUGGUUGUACAUUAAGAAUACAGAUAAGUUACAACCUAUAAACUACUAAUAAGUUACAUUAUUGAUUUGCAAUUGCACUGUUCAGAUUCAAUGGAAUAAUUCUGGUCUGCCAAUGCUCAAACAUCCCUUCGAGGCUACAGUUUCUUCCUUUUUUUUUUUUGUCGGUCAAAGUAAGCAAAGGGCAGCUUUUUGUCUUUGGUCGCUUUAGCAAGCAUUUUACCUGAGGAAUGGAGACAAAAAAAUAAAAGCACGCAGCAGUUUUUUUUUUAAAUUAUGACAGCAUGUCCAUGUUUUAUAGAGAAUAGGAAGAAUUUUUUUUUAAAGUACAUUUUAUUUUUUUUUCUUUCACUGUAAUCAUUCACUAAUGAAAUUAAUUUAAAAAAAAAAGGAAAGUAAUUUCUUGCGUUGAACACGUAUUAAAGAGAGAUUAGAAAAAGAAGGUUAGUUCAAACAGUUACUUUCGAUGAAGAUGACAGACUUUGGCGAUUAUGUAAUUUACACACAAGGAAAACAAAGGGAAAAUAAUCUGGGAGAAAUCAUGAGGAAUACAGUAACAGAAGGAAAAAGGAGGACAGAGUCCAGUCAACGACAAAGGAUAUCUUCCACUAUGAUAUUCUCCACUGGCUGUCCUCCUGUAGUCUUUGCAGCAUCCCCAAAAUUUUGCUCCGUUAGUCCAAACUUGAUCCUUCAGUCCCCAAAAUUUUGCUCCGUUAAAUCUUCAGCCAACCAGCAAGGUAAGUUCAGUCGCUAAAACUUGUACAACCCUAACAAAUAUGAGCAGAUGUUGCCAUGCAGGAUGACAAGUUCAAAGAACCGAAGGAAAACUGCCUCAAAGACAUUAAUACUGUCCACUGCAGUACAAGUGAUCCUUCAUCUGCCUCAGAUUCAGCUCCAGCGAUCCCAUGGUCUGAUUCUUGUCCCGAAUGUCUAUGAUUUUUCAUGCUUGAUUCUGAUUGGAUGGGCAUAAUUCAAAUGUUAGAUGGGUUUUUGGAUUGUUCAAAGUUUAAGAUUAUUAGGACUUGUUUGGAAUCCAAGUUUAUUGUCAAGUUUGUUUGUUACAAAUUUUUUAAAAACUUUAUACUACGGUAAAUUAAAAAUAUUUUUUAAAAAUUUUAAAUUAUACAUUUUAAAAUAUUAAAAAAAUAUAAACGCCGUUUGGAUGGGAGUAUUUUUCAAAAACUAAUUUUUUAAAUAUAAUAAAAAUUUUUAAAAUGUAUUCUAAAAGAUAAUUUAAAAUUUAAUUUAAAAUUUAAAAUUAUAUUUUAAAAAUUCUUUUACUCUUAAAUAUUUUAAAAUAUUUUCUAAAAAUAUUUUAAAAUAUAUUCUAAAAAUUAUGCUAUAGUAAAUUUUUUUAAAAAUAUUCCAAAAAAUAGUUAAUCCAAAUGGAGCCCUAUACAUUGAAAAUUUUUUUUAAAAGCUUCUACAAGUAAACUAUAGUAAAAUUUUAGACAAACUCCAAAGAACUCACUUUCCAAAAUUGCUUAUGGGUUUCGUAGUGAUUAGCCAUAAACUAGUGGUGGAGUCAUGACCUAUGGUCUGACAAUAAAAUAUUAUACACCUAUAUGAUCACGUAAUUAUUAUGUGAAGAGAAAUUUAAUUAAAAAUUAUGUUUUUACUACGAUUUUUUUGUGUUGUGAAAUUAUUGAAGUUAUUUAUUAUUCAAGUAGUAAUCAAUUUUGUAGUUUAAUAGCUUUAAAACAUUUCUAUUAUAGGAGAGAUUUUAAAAAUUUCAGAUAUGUGUUGUGAGUUUCUCAUAAUAACAAUGAAAAGGUAUUUUUAUUCCCGAAAAAUUGAGGGUGCAAUUAUGAUAAAAACAUAAAAAUUUAUAGCAAUUUUAAGGUUAUUCUUUAAAUUUUGCAACGUUGAGAGGCAAUUGCCCGCCCUCAACAUACCGCGGCUCUGCCACUGGAUGGUACCACAAUCUUCAGGAUGAUGCAUAAAUGGGACUGGUUGGACGUCUAGGCUAAUACGACUAGGCUAAUAACAAAAACUGUUAUUACAAGAUAUGCUUAAAGAUAUUAACUUCUACUGUUUCUGGAAUGCAGGCUAUGUUGAAAAAAGCUCGCCCUCCAAAGCUAGAUUGGUACGAGGAGUUAUAUGCGUGGGUUAUGGGGAAAUUCAAUAAACGUUACGAGGCUGAGGUUGGUGGUGGUUAUGAGCAGUAAAUUCUUGGUAUGUUGACCAUUUGGUUCAGUAGAAGAAUACUUAUAAAUGCCUAUUUUCUUAUAAGAUUGCAGGCUAUAAGUCUGAACUUUUUGCUAAUCUGAGAGGAAAGGCUAAUAAGAAAACCAUUUUGGUUGCUUCUACGGUGGAAAGUAGGUUGACCUGCCCACCGUAGACAGAGAGAGUGCUAGAAGGACAGCUCAGCACAAGCAUAUCUAUCCAUGUUUUUGGGGCCCAGUUGAGAAUAGGUGACCGGCAAAGCCUUUUUAUCAUCUGAAGGAGCUAAGAGCAAAUACUAAUAUAAAUUGGGUUGGGUGAUUAAAUAAAUUAGUGAAACGAUAGAUGCUAUACUGGAAUAACAAUAAGAGCCAAGUUUGUCCUUUUUGAAUUUGUUAUCAUCUGAGGCGGAGGAAACAGAAGGUGGGAUAAAAAAUUUUCACAUUAAAUUAAAUUAUUUUUUUAACUAAGCAACUAACUUUUAUUUACCUUGUAAUUGUUUUUUAACAUAAUUGGGUUUCACCUUUUUACUUUAUCAUCAAUUGCAUUUUUUGCUUGCUUGUUUCAAUGGAUUUGCUAUCAUUAGAUAAUCCUAUCACAACAAAAUCUUUUAAUUCAGCACUUACUUUUAAGUGUAAAGUUUGAUUUUUACUAUGAUUUGAUUAUCCUUAUCAUUAGAUCAUUUUAAUAUUUAAAAAUUCUCAAAUUUUGACACUAAUUUACUGGUCAAAUUUGUGAUUUAUAGUUUGUCAUGUCCAAUACAACUAGUUGCAGAGUUAGAAUUUAAAUUCAUAACCAUCUAGUUAUUUUAAUAGUUCAAACGUUCAAUCUUUGAAACUUUUGUAUUAUAUGAUUUAUGUUUAUGAUUAUUUUAUCUACAAUCUCAAUUCUAGUUUCUUGGUGUAUUAUGUUAAUUAUAUUUAUGAUUACUUAUCUACAAAUUUGAUAUCAAUUUGAAAGCCACUAUGUUACGUAUAAGAUUACUUAUCUAAUUUCUAAAUUAAAAUUAAAAUCUACCAGGUCAAUUAUGUCACGAUUCUGGUUUUUUGUAACACUGUGUUAAUUAUAUUUCUAAUUAUUCAUCUACAAUUUUGAUUCCAAUUAAAAAAUCACUAUCUAUGAGGACUUAGUUAGAGGGAUCGCUGUUAGUAUAAACUUUUUAAUACCAUUUUCUAAACUUUCAAUUUUAUCCUUAGGGAAAAACUUUUAAUUUUUGCUCUAAUUGUUUAAUCACAUUUUGCCAAUAUAACUACCCUAAGUAUUGUAAUUACCAACUUACUAUAACCUUAUGAACCAAAAUUCUUCAAUAAAUUAUUGUGAAAAAUAAAAUUUUUAUAAAAUUAAUUCCUUUUAAUUAUUUAUGUAUAUAAUUACUCAUCUACGCGAACUAACAAUUAAAUUUAAUCCUUAAGAUUGUAGUACACAUAAAUACAUUUAUGGGCUUUUAACUUACCAAAAUUGCCCUUCAAAUUUUGUCCUUCGCCAAUUUGGCCUGAGAGCUGCUCCCUUAUGUAUAUAAUUACUCAUCUACGCGAACUAACAAUUAAAUUUAAUCCUUGAGAUUGGAGUACACAUAAAUACAUUUAUGGGCUUUUAACUUACCAAAAUUGCACUUCAAAUUUUGUCCUUCGCCAAUUUGGCCUGGGAGCUGCUCCCCAGCUAAUGCCAAUUAUUGGAUAAUCCGACAAACCCAAUUAAUCCAUUCAGAAUUAUCUUCUCCCAAGUCUCUUCUCUCCUCCAUCCUUUUUUUUCAAAAUUUUCAUUUUGUCAUGAUCUUAACUAAUUUUGUUUCAUUAUUAUUAUUAUUAUUGUUGGUUUUAUUUUAUUAUUUUAUUUUCUCUUAGUUUGUUAACUUGCUCAUUUUUUAGCAUUACCAAUUUAUAAUAAGUUUUAGCCUCUUUUUAUAUUCUUAUUAUUCAAUUAUUAAAUAAUAUGUAAUUUUGUGACAUAGAGUAUAAAUGAAAAAAAAUUGGUAAUUAGGCUUAUUGAGCAUUAUAAGUAAAUAUUUAAAACUAAUGAUGGGUACAAAGAGUGGUAUAAAUUGAUAAUUUAGUUUGCAAAAAUGAAUUUAAAUGAGUUUAUAAAAAGUUAAAAUAAAUGGGUUAUAAAUGGAUAAUUGGGUUAUCCAUUUCAUUUUUCCCUUACCCAUUUAUACUCAUUUAAUUAAAUGGGUAUAAAUGAGUUGACUCACUUAUACCCAUUACCCAUUUUACCCAAUCCAAACCCACCAAGUCAUCCAUUUUGACACCUCUAGAUGAAACCAGGAAAUCUUGAGUGAAUAAAUGACUUUCUUGCAUCAAAACCUGAGUUUUGUUAUUAGCUAUUACUGACAAGGUGUUUAACAUACCAGUCCAGUUUUCAGAGUUACUAUCCCGAGUUCAACAUGCCAUGUUGGUGCCAGCUGGGUUAUGGUUAUGAAAUUGGUUUCUUGUUAAUUAUUAUUACAAAAAAUAUUUAUAAUUGGAAAAGAUUCAAUUCUUGCAUACUGAAUAAUAAAUAUUUAUAGGAAAAAUCGUUUAAAAUGUCUUUCACAUUUCGUUAAAUGAAAUAGUAUUUUUCUUAAAGAAAAAAGAAAAAGUUGGUUAAAUUAUAUUAAAAAAGAAUUAAAAAGGAAAAUGCAAUAAAGGAAAAAUGCUUUUGAACCAAUAAAUAGAAUUAAAAAAUUAAAUGACAAAAAUUGGAUAAAUUACUUUAAACAAAAUAGAAAAAAAGAACACUUUAAAAUGUCUUUAAAGACGUCAUUUUAAAAUAAUUGGGGAUGUUGCAUUGGGUCAGGGGAGGUUUUUGCAAUUAUCCCAAAAAACAAUGCAAUCCUCUGCAGAGUGUUUCUCUCACCAACAAGAUAAAUAAUAACCAAGACAGCUAAAAUAUUCUUCUCAUGUGCCAACCUUUCCCUUGAAGAGUGGAUAAGCCUGGUUUAAAUUCAACACGACGUGAGUUAAGAAAAAUUUAUGGCAAAGACCUACAAUUCAAACCGAAAGCCUGAAAUGACAUUUACCAGAAGAUCAAUGUCACAAAAUCACAAAGAAAAGUAUAGGGAUAAUUGCAGAAACCCCCCUGACUUUUAUAGUAAUAGCAUUGACCUCCCCUAUCAAUUUUGAAAUAGCACUGACCUCCCUAUCAAAAGUUGGAGGCAAUUUAAUAGGCAAAAGUGGGUCAAUUUACUAAAGUACCCUUGACAUGAUUUAAUUUUACCAAAUGAAUGUGAUUAGUACUUUCAUCAAACCAACAAAACAUUUGUUAAUAAAAAUUACACUAAAUUAACUAUUUCUGCAUAGUUUAACUAAUUAACUAAAUAACUAAUAUCUAAUUAAUUAAUAACUAAUUAUCUAAUUAACUAUUAACUAAUUAACUAAUUAUCUAAUUGUUAAUAGUUAUUAACUAAUCAAACUAUUUCUGCAUAAUUAAACUAAUUAACUAUUAACUAAUUAUCUAAUUAAUUAAUUAACUAAUUAACUAAUUUCUUUUUAUCUAAUUAACUAAUCUCUAUUUAUCUGAUUAACUAAUUAACUAAAUCUGUUGUCUGUCCGAAACUAAUAAACUAUUUGCAUGUUAAACUAAUUAACUAAUUAGCUGCUUAACUAAUUAACUACCUAAUUAUCUAAUUAAUUAAUUAACUAAUUAACUAAAUUUUGUUUAUCUAAUUAACUAAUUAACUAAAGUUGUUGUCUAUCCGAAACUAACAAACUAUUUGCAUGUUAAACUAAUUAACUAAUUAACUGCUUAACUAAUUAACUAAAACUGUUGUUUGUCCGAAACUAACAAACUAUUUGCAUGUUAAACUAAUUAACUACUUAACUAAUUAACUAACUAAUUAUCUAAUUAACUAAUUAACUAAUUUCUAUUUAUCUAAUUAACUAAUUAACUAAUUAACUAAAACUGUUGUCUAUUCGAAACUAACAAACUAUUUACAUGUUAAACUAAUUAACUAACUAAUUAUCUAAUUAAUUAAUUAACUAAUUAACUAUUUUCUAUUUAUCUAAUUAACUAAUUAACUAAAGCUAUUGUCUGUUCGAAAACUAACAACUAUUUGCAUGUUAAACUAAUUAACUAAUUAACUGCUUAACUAAUUAACUAAUUAAUUAACUAACUAAUUAACAAACUAUUUGCAUGUUAAACUAUAUGCAGUACGCAUUACCUAUUUAAAGUAUCGGCUCUUUAUAGGUAUUUUACUUUCAAACAUUUAAUUUAUAAUAAAAACAUCAAUGUUUGUAAGUAAAAUUCAACAAGUGUUACAAAAAAUAUCAAUAUUCUUACUUUCAAACAUUUAAUUUAUGGCCCUAUGCCCCUCCAUUUUUGUAAGAAUAUUACUGUAACACUUGUUGAAUUUUACUUACAAACAUUGAUGUUUUUAUCAUAAAUUAAAUGUUUGAAAGUAAAAUACCGAUAAAGAGCCGAUACUUUAAAUAGGUAAUGCGUACUGCAUAUAGUUUAACAUGCAAAUAGUUUGUUAAUUAAUUAGUUAAUUAGUUAAGCAAUUAAUUAGUUAAUUAGUUUAACAUGCAAAUAGUUUGUUAGUUUCUGAUAGACAAUAGCUUUAGUUAAUUAGAUAAAUAGAAAUUAGUUAAUUAGUUAAUUAGUUAAUAAUUAAUCAGAUAAUUAGUUAAUUGUUAAUUAGUUUAACUAUUAACUAAUUAGAUAAUUAGUUAAGCAAUUGUCAAGCAAAUAAUAAUUGUCAAGCAAGAAGAGGGCAAAAUUGGAAGAAAUUUCUUAUCUCACUUCUACAAAAGCUGUCAAGGAGGUUUCUGCAACAAAUUGUUACUGUUCAGGGGAGGUGAAUGCAAUUUCUAAACCUAGAGGGGAGGUCAGUGCAAAUCUCAGAAAUCUUAGGGAAGGUUUCUGCAAUUAUCCCAAAAGUAUAAUCUUUUUCUUUCUCAAGUCGAAUGAUAGGAGCAAAGCUAGUCAACAUUCAAAAGAUGCCUUAAAAAAAAUUUAAAAAACAGCAAAUGUCUACACACAAAGGAAAACUUUUCUUUCCCACAUCAUUUGCCCUCUCUGGAAUUUUCCCCCUUUUUGGCUUUAGUUUUCUUAUGAUUAUGAGCACAGCUAAAAAUACUCAGCUACAGUGACAACAUAAUUUUUAAUGUAAUAACCCGUAAUAAUUCACUAUUAUUACAAAAUCAUUGAAACUAGACUACAACCGCCAACUGCUGUAUCUCAAGCUAUAAUUUUUUAAAAUAAAUGAAAAAACAGCUAAGCACAGAAUAAUUCCCAAUCAUUCGUACCAUAUUAUGUAAAAAGAAAGAAGCAAUUAAAAAAUUUGAACUUUACGAGAAUUACUACCAACCCAGAAAUAAAAACUCCUCAAAUGAAGAAUACCGCAUCUGCCACCAAAGAUUCACAAGGACUUGUGAAGCUUAAAAAAAUAAACAAGAAAUGCAAUCCAGCAUUAAAGGACUAAAAAACAAUUUUUUUAGAUAACUAAGCACAUAUUUACAUGAAUGAUGGUGCUGAUGUAAACAAACACAAUGGGCUUACGAAUUUAUUAUUGAUUCUGUUGGGCUUCUGCUGGGGAAAGGAGUGAAGGUAGAGAGUGUGAAUUGUCAGUGUGUAGAAAAUAGAAAUGUGAAUAUAAGAACCCUAAUUUGACGGAGAGGGCGUGAUUAUUUAAGCGUCCUUGUUGCCCUCAAAUUUGGCUUGAUUUCUGGUUGUGUCCCCGUAUAUUUACAGUGCCCUUUGUAAUGGCCCCCGAACAUUUUUUUAAAAAUUUUUAUUACUACAUUAAAGGUGCUUGUUUUGUUUCUAGGGAAAUGACGGAGGAAAAGUAUGAAAAGUGUAAGUGUGUAUUUUUCUUUUUUUCUUGAGUUAGAUAUUUUAACUUAGCUUUAUACUACAAGAGAGUAAUAAAUUCUUAUGUCCUUUCGUAGGUGGAGUAUAAAUAUAUAAUAAGUGAUUCAUUCUGAGUUAUAGGAGCAUGUAACUUAAAAAAAAAAUCGAUUUAUCGAUCAAAUUCGAUUCAAAUUUUGGAAUUCUCGAAAUCAGUAAAGCGAAAAACGAAAAGGAAAUCGGAUUUUUUUAUUUUCAAAAUAUACGAAUUUGGUUUGAAUUUGAGAAUACGUUUUCUCAAAAUGGAAUUUUGGAUUUCGAAUUCACAAUGCGAAAUCGGAAUCGAAUACCUAAUUUGAUAUUCAAUUUCAAAUUUGUAUCUGUUAUAUAUAUUAAUAUAUAUGUAAUAUAAAAAUUUAUAUUAUAUAAUAAUACAUCUAAUUAUAAUUAUAUUAUAAAACAAUACAAUAAUAAGUCUUAUUAAGUUAGUUGGAUAUUAGGUUAUAACUAUAAACUUAUAUUAUACAAAAGUUGGCAUUUAGUUUAGCAAAACUUACAUAUAAUUACAGAAUUAGGUGAAAUCGGUUAUUACCGACUUUCAAAUUGAAUUCGGAAUUUGUGAAAUCGAAUUUGAAAUCAAUCGAAUUUUCUAAUGUCCAAAUUUCCAAAAAUUUAUUACCGAAUUUGAUUUCGAUGCACACUCCUGUUGAGUAAUUUGAACAAAAAAAGAGCUUAUGUAUAGAGGUAAGCUAUACUAGUUUGAUUUUAUGGCUUUUAUUUUCACAUUUCUUUUGUUAUUUACUUCUUAUUUUUCUUGCGUCGCAUUAUAGUUUGAUAGGCACCUAUAUCUUGGGAGAAUACAAGCCAAAUAAUACUUAUGAGGGCACGCAGGAGGUAUUUGUCAAUUUCUUGCUUAUUUUGUGUGGCAAGGUAAGAGGAAAAGUAGUAGCAGCCAAGUUUUAUGCUAAAAGCCGUGUCAAUUAAGGAUUUUGUGAUGAAAGAGGAGUUAAAACUAAGUCAUUGCUCAUGUUUAAUUUUCUUCACCAUCAGUUCUUUCACGUCAAAAAAAAAAGUUGAAAAAUCUUUGCUUUUCACAAGAGGGAUAAGAGUUGGAACAUGGGGACGCAAUUAACACAUUAUGAUUCCACGUUUGCAAAUCCUUUUUGGAAAGCCUCAACUCAUUCGUCAUUAACCACUACCUUAACCAAGUUGGAAGAUCAACUAAUGCAAUAACUUGGGAAAUGGAAAAUCAAUCAAUGAACACAGUCAUCCACUCUCUAGACCUUUGUCUUUCUCGGUCAUGCUCCACAUGGAAAUGUUAUCUACUGUCAUCACCCAAAAGCAAAAAAGGUAACAGGCAUGUUCAAGGUUCGACACUCGAAGAGCUUGCCUUCGCCUUUAAGGAUUUACCUUUCUUUUCUAGAAGAAUCAAGACCAAACAUCAAAUUUUUUUUAAAAUAUUCCAAAAAAUAGUUAAUCCAAAUGGAGCCCUAUACAUUGAAUUUUUUUUUAAAACUUCUACAAGUAAACUAUAGUAAAAUUUUAGACAAACUCCAAAGAACUCACUUUCCAAAAUUGCUUAUGGGUUUCGUAGUGAUUAGCCAUAAACUAGUGGUGGAGUCAUGACCUAUGGUCUGACAAUAAAAUAUUAUACACCUAUAUGAUCACGUAAUUAUUAUGUGAAGAGAAAUUUAAUUAAAAAUUAUGUUUUUACUACGAUUUUUUUGUGUUGUGAAAUUAUUGAAGUUAUUUAUUAUUCAAGUAGUAAUCAAUUUUGUAGUUUAAUAGCUUUAAAACAUUUCUAUUAUAGGAGAGAUAUUUCAAAAAUUGGUUGUCAGAUAUAUAAUGUGUAUGGAAUGAGGUUUCUCAUAAUAUAAGGUGCAAUGAAAAGGGAAAUAUAUUUUAUUCCCGAAAAUUGAGGGGUGCAAUUAUGAUAAAAACAUAAAAAUUUAUAGCAAUUUUAAGGUUAUUCUUUAAAUUUUGCAACGUUGAGAGGCAAUUGCCCGCCCUCAACAUACCGCGGCUCUGCCACUGGAUGGUACCACAAUCUUCAGGAUGAUGCAUAAAUGGGACUGGUUGGACGUCUAGGCUAAUACGACUAGGCUAAUAACAAAAACUGUUAUUACAAGAUAUGCUUAAAGAUAUUAACUUCUACUGUUUCUGGAAUGCAGGCUAUGUUGAAAAAAGCUCGCCCUCCAAAGCUAGAUUGGUACGAGGAGUUAUAUGCGUGGGUUAUGGGGAAAUUCAAUAAACGUUACGAGGCUGAGGUUGGUGGUGGUUAUGAGCAGUAAAUUCUUGGUAUGUUGACCAUUUGGUUCAGUAGAAGAAUACUUAUAAAUGCCUAUUUUCUUAUAAGAUUGCAGGCUAUAAGUCUGAACUUUUUGCUAAUCUGAGAGGAAAGGCUAAUAAGAAAACCAUUUUGGUUGCUUCUACGGUGGAAAGUAGGUUGACCUGCCCACCGUAGACAGAGAGAGUGCUAGAAGGACAGCUCAGCACAAGCAUAUCUAUCCAUGUUUUUGGGGCCCAGUUGAGAAUAGGUGACCGGCAAAGCCUUUUUAUCAUCUGAAGGAGCUAAGAGCAAAUACUAAUAUAAAUUGGGUUGGGUGAUUAAAUAAAUUAGUGAAACGAUAGAUGCUAUACUGGAAUAACAAUAAGAGCCAAGUUUGUCCUUUUUGAAUUUGUUAUCAUCUGAGGCGGAGGAAACAGAAGGUGGGAUAAAAAAUUUUCACAUUAAAUUAAAUUAUUUUUUUUAACUAAGCAACUAACUUUUAUUUACCUUGUAAUUGUUUUUUAACAUAAUUGGGUUUCACCUUUUUACUUUAUCAUCAAUUGCAUUUUUUGCUUGCUUGUUUCAAUGGAUUUGCUAUCAUUAGAUAAUCCUAUCACAACAAAAUCUUUUAAUUCAGCACUUACUUUUAAGUGUAAAGUUUGAUUUUUACUAUGAUUUGAUUAUCCUUAUCAUUAGAUCAUUUUAAUAUUUAAAAAUUCUCAAAUUUUGACACUAAUUUACUGGUCAAAUUUGUGAUUUAUAGUUUGUCAUGUCCAAUACAACUAGUUGCAGAGUUAGAAUUUAAAUUCAUAACCAUCUAGUUAUUUUAAUAGUUCAAACGUUCAAUCUUUGAAACUUUUGUAUUAUAUGAUUUAUGUUUAUGAUUAUUUUAUCUACAAUCUCAAUUCUAGUUUCUUGGUGUAUUAUGUUAAUUAUAUUUAUGAUUACUUAUCUACAAAUUUGAUAUCAAUUUGAAAGCCACUAUGUUACGUAUAAGAUUACUUAUCUAAUUUCUAAAUUAAAAUUAAAAUCUACCAGGUCAAUUAUGUCACGAUUCUGGUUUUUUGUAACACUGUGUUAAUUAUAUUUCUAAUUAUUCAUCUACAAUUUUGAUUCCAAUUAAAAAAAUCACUAUCUAUGAGGACUUAGUUAGAGGGAUCGCUGUUAGUAUAAACUUUUUAAUACCAUUUUCUAAACUUUCAAUUUUAUCCUUAGGGAAAAACUUUUAAUUUUUGCUCUAAUUGUUUAAUCACAUUUUGCCAAUAUAACUACCCUAAGUAUUGUAAUUACCAACUUACUAUAACCUUAUGAACCAAAAUUCUUCAAUAAAUUAUUGUGAAAAAUAAAAUUUUUAUAAAAUUAAUUCCUUUUAAUUAUUUAUGUAUAUAAUUACUCAUCUACGCGAACUAACAAUUAAAUUUAAUCCUUAAGAUUGUAGUACACAUAAAUACAUUUAUGGGCUUUUAACUUACCAAAAUUGCCCUUCAAAUUUUGUCCUUCGCCAAUUUGGCCUGAGAGCUGCUCCCUUAUGUAUAUAAUUACUCAUCUACGCGAACUAACAAUUAAAUUUAAUCCUUGAGAUUGGAGUACACAUAAAUACAUUUAUGGGCUUUUAACUUACCAAAAUUGCACUUCAAAUUUUGUCCUUCGCCAAUUUGGCCUGGGAGCUGCUCCCCAGCUAAUGCCAAUUAUUGGAUAAUCCGACAAACCCAAUUAAUCCAUUCAGAAUUAUCUUCUCCCAAGUCUCUUCUCUUCCUCCAUCCUUUUUUUUCAAAAUUUUCAUUUUGUCAUGAUCUUAACUAAUUUUGUUUCAUUAUUAUUAUUAUUAUUGUUGGUUUUAUUUUAUUAUUUUAUUUUCUCUUAGUUUGUUAACUUGCUCAUUUUUUAGCAUUACCAAUUUAUAAUAAGUUUUAGCCUCUUUUUAUAUUCUUAUUAUUCAAUUAUUAAAUAAUAUGUAAUUUUGUGACAUAGAGUAUAAAUGAAAAAAAAUUGGUAAUUAGGCUUAUUGAGCAUUAUAAGUAAAUAUUUAAAACUAAUGAUGGGUACAAAGAGUGGUAUAAAUUGAUAAUUUAGUUUGCAAAAAUGAAUUUAAAUGAGUUUAUAAAAAGUUAAAAUAAAUGGGUUAUAAAUGGAUAAUUGGGUUAUCCAUUUCAUUUUUCCCUUACCCAUUUAUACUCAUUUAAUUAAAUGGGUAUAAAUGAGUUGACUCACUUAUACCCAUUACCCAUUUUACCCAAUCCAAACCCACCCAAGUCAUCCAUUUUGACACCUCUAGAUGAAACCAGGAAAUCUUGAGUGAAUAAAUGACUUUCUUGCAUCAAAACCUGAGUUUUGUUAUUAGCUAUUACUGACAAGGUGUUUAACAUACCAGUCCAGUUUUCAGAGUUACUAUCCCGAGUUCAACAUGCCAUGUUGGUGCCAGCUGGGUUAUGGUUAUGAAAUUGGUUUCUUGUUAAUUAUUAUUACAAAAAAUAUUUAUAAUUGGAAAAGAUUCAAUUCUUGCAUACUGAAUAAUAAAUAUUUAUAGGAAAAAUCGUUUAAAAUGUCUUUCACAUUUCGUUAAAUGAAAUAGUAUUUUUCUUAAAGAAAAAAGAAAAAGUUGGUUAAAUUAUAUUAAAAAAGAAUUAAAAAGGAAAAAUGCAAUAAAGGAAAAAUGCUUUUGAACCAAUAAAUAGAAUUAAAAAAUUAAAUGACAAAAAUUGGAUAAAUUACUUUAAACAAAAUAGAAAAAAAGAACACUUUAAAAUGUCUUUAAAGACGUCAUUUUAAAAUAAUUGGGGAUGUUGCAUUGGGUCAGGGGAGGUUUUUGCAAUUAUCCCAAAAAACAAUGCAAUCCUCUGCAGAGUGUUUCUCUCACCAACAAGAUAAAUAAUAACCAAGACAGCUAAAAUAUUCUUCUCAUGUGCCAACCUUUCCCUUGAAGAGUGGAUAAGCCUGGUUUAAAUUCAACACGACGUGAGUUAAGAAAAAUUUAUGGCAAAGACCUACAAUUCAAACUGAAAGCCUGAAAUGACAUUUACCAGAAGAUCAAUGUCACAAAAUCACAAAGAAAAGUAUAGGGAUAAUUGCAGAAACCCCCCCUGACUUUUAUAGUAAUAGCAUUGACCUCCCCUAUCAAUUUUGAAAUAGCACUGACCUCUCCUAUCAAAAGUUGGAGGCAAUUUAAUAGGCAAAAGUGGGUCAAUUUACUAAAGUACCCUUGACAUGAUUUAAUUUUACCAAAUGAAUGUGAUUAGUACUUUCAUCAAACCAACAAAACAUUUGUUAAUAAAAAUUACACUAAAUUAACUAUUUCUGCAUAGUUUAACUAAUUAACUAAAUAACUAAUUAUCUAAUUAAUUAAUAACUAAUUAUCUAAUUAACUAUUAACUAAUUAACUAAUUAUCUAAUUGUUAAUAGUUAUUAACUAAUCAAACUAUUUCUGCAUAAUUAAACUAAUUAACUAUUAACUAAUUAUCUAAUUAAUUAAUUAACUAAUUAACUAAUUUCUUUUUAUCUAAUUAACUAAUCUCUAUUUAUCUGAUUAACUAAUUAACUAAAUCUGUUGUCUGUCCGAAACUAAUAAACUAUUUGCAUGUUAAACUAAUUAACUAAUUAGCUGCUUAACUAAUUAACUACCUAAUUAUCUAAUUAAUUAAUUAACUAAAGCUAUUGUCUAUCCGAAACUAACAAACUAUUUGCAUGUUAAACUAAUUAACUAAUUAACUGCUUAACUAAUUAACUAAUUAACUAACUAACUAAUUAACAAACUAUUUGCAUGUUAAACUAUAUGCAGUACGCAUUACCUAUUUAAAGUAUCGGCUCUUUAUAGGUAUUUUACUUUCAAACAUUUAAUUUAUAAUAAAAACAUCAAUGUUUGUAAGUAAAAUUCAACAAGUGUUACAAAAAAUAUCAAUAUUCUUACUUUCAAACAUUUAAUUUAUGGCCCUAUGCCCCUCCAUUUUUGUAAGAAUAUUACUGUAACACUUGUUGAAUUUUACUUACAAACAUUGAUGUUUUUAUCAUAAAUUAAAUGUUUGAAAGUAAAAUACCGAUAAAGAGCCGAUACUUUAAAUAGGUAAUGCGUACUGCAUAUAGUUUAACAUGCAAAUAGUUUGUUAAUUAAUUAGUUAAUUAGUUAAGCAGUUAAUUAGUUAAUUAGUUUAACAUGCAAAUAGUUUGUUAGUUUCUGAUAGACAAUAGCUUUAGUUAAUUAGAUAAAUAGAAAUUAGUUAAUUAGUUAAUUAGUUAAUAAUUAAUCAGAUAAUUAGUUAAUUGUUAAUUAGUUUAACUAUUAACUAAUUAGAUAAUUAGUUAAUUGUUAAUUAGUUUAACUAUUAACUAAUUAGAUAAUUAGUUAAGCAAUUGUCAAGCAAAUAAUAAUUGUCAAGCAAGAAGAAGGCAAAAUUGGAAGAAAUUUCUUAUCUCACUUCUACAAAAGCUGUCAAGGAGGUUUCUGCAACAAAUUGUUACUGUUCAGGGGAGGUGAAUGCAAUUUCUAAACCUAGAGGGGAGGUCAGUGCAAAUCUCAGAAAUCUUAGGGAAGGUUUCUGCAAUUAUCCCAAAAGUAUAAUCUUUUUCUUUCUCAAGUCGAAUGAUAGGAGCAAAGCUAGUCAACAUUCAAAAGAUGCCUUAAAAAAAAUUUAAAAAACAGCAAAUGUCUACACACAAAGGAAAACUUUUCUUUCCCACAUCAUUUGCCCUCUCUGGAAUUUUCCCCCUUUUUGGCUUUAGUUUUCUUAUGAUUAUGAGCACAGCUAAAAAUACUCAGCUACAGUGACAACAUAAUUUUUAAUGUAAUAACCCGUAAUAAUUCACUAUUAUUACAAAAUCAUUGAAACUAGACUACAACCGCCAACUGCUGUAUCUCAAGCUAUAAUUUUUUAAAAUAAAUGAAAAAACAGCUAAGCACAGAAUAAUUCCCAAUCAUUCGUACCAUAUUAUGUAAAAAGAAAGAAGCAAUUAAAAAAUUUGAACUUUACGAGAAUUACUACCAACCCAGAAAUAAAAACUCCUCAAAUGAAGAAUACCGCAUCUGCCACCAAAGAUUCACAAGGACUUGUGAAGCUUAAAAAAUAAACAAGAAAUGCAAUCCAGCAUUAAAGGACUAAAAAACAAUUUUUUUAGAUAACUAAGCACAUAUUUACAUGAAUGAUGGUGCUGUUGUAAACAAACACAAUGGGCUUACGAAUUUAUUAUUGAUUCUGUUGGGCUUCUGCUGGGGAAAUGAGUGAAGGUAGAGAGUGUGAAUUGUCAGUGUGUAGAAAAUAGAAAUGUGAAUAUAAGAACCCUAAUUUGACGGAGAGGGCGUGAUUAUUUAAGCGUCCUUGUUGCCCUCAAAUUUGGCUUGAUUUCUGGUUGUGUCCCCGUAUAUUUACAGUGCCCUUGUAGGAUUUCCAUAUUCUAGAAUGAGAUGAUAGUCCCUGAAAAUGUGAAUGAGACUGACAUCUUCCCAAUUUCUCUUCUUAAGAUGAGAAGCUCACUGGAAAUAGGAUGUGAAACUUCUACACAAGAAGGAAGGAUUAUAUUCAUUUCAUUUGCUGCAUUUAGUGCUACAAGUGCCAAGGGCACUGCUUCACCAGAAAUCAUCCUUCAAUGUUUAUUUUUUUGUAGCUAUCUUCAAACCAUGAAGCUUUCUGUUGUUUUCAAAUCCUUGCGUAGCUAUCCCGCUCUUCGUGUGGUUACUGGCUCUCUACAGUCUCGUGCAUUUCAGCCUGAUUUCAUUCCCAGGGAUCCCAAAUCAAAGCCCGUAAGACACAAGUAUCCAGCUUUCUAUGAUCCUUAUGGCGCUAGACCCCCAUCUUCAGAUAAGAUCAUUCGGCUUGUAGAGCAGAUUGCAGCCCUGUCUCCGAAAGAGCGUAAUUUUAUUGGUCCCACGCUUAGAGACAGACUAAGGCAUCCUAUGAUUCCACCAGUUUUAGUGGAGGGCAUGGACUUGAGUCCUUAUGGAGGGUCUGGUGCUGGGUCUUCAAAGGCUGAGAAGAAAAAUGUCGAAAAAACUGCAUUUGAUGUCAAGUUAGUAAAGUUCGAUGCUGCUGCAAAAAUUAAGGUGAUCAAAGAGGUUCGUGCUUUCACAAAUUUGGGGUUGAAGGAAGCCAAAGAUUUAGCUGAGAAAGUACCAGUUUUAAUUAAGCAAGGUAUCACUAAAGAAGAGGCAAAUGAUAUUAUAGAGAAGAUUAAGGCUGUAGGGGGAGUUGCUGUUAUGGAGUAGAUUUUCACCGAGUUUUGUAUGCUUUCUUUGAACUGUUAUCAAAGUUCUAUUGCCAGUUUUUUGCUCUGAUAGACAAACAAUUGUCAUUCUGAAGAUGUUGUUCUUGCAUAUUCAAAAGAAUGAAACUUUCCUUGCUAGGUAGAGGAGGACCAUUAUGUUUUCCUUCAAAUUUGGUUUUCAUACUUGAUAUUUUGUGCUGACCCUUAAUGGGAUUUUGGGAUACGAAUGGGCCACCAGGGAAGUUGGCUUAACAGAUGUCUGGUUUGUGUAAAAUUGCUGGUGUAUGAUAUUGGAAUUAUUGCUGAUUUAGCUGUGAUUGCAACUUACAGGUAGUCUGUUUGGUUCAGCAUUUUAACAUGGCGGCUGACUUUUCAGUGGCCGCAAAUGGCCUCUGUCCAUUUUUGAGAUGUCCAAACAGUUACAUAUCAGGCUUUUGCCAGGUAUGAAAAUUUUGGAAUUGAAUUAUGAACUCUCAGCAUGCGAUUUUCACUUAACUGAUCCCCAGCAAUUAACAGACCCACACUCUAGUAGAUAACAUAUUUAGCCACUUCAUGCAAUAUUUGAGAAUUUUCUUGCGCAAAUAUGAGAUGUGUAACCUUCAUUGUUGUAGUCGAAUAGCAUUCCUAAUUGACCAAUUGUUACAGGUCAAUCAGUUGAUCUUAACCUGAAAGCAGUAGUAGAGUAAAUAAACAUGAUUGUGGUCCAAGUCUUCAGUUCUUUGGCCAGAUGAUAGUUAAUAUACGAUUAUGGUCUUGAUUGUUCAAUUCUUUGGAUGGAUGGAUGGAACUUUAGGGAAAUUGUUCAUUUAAUAAAUAUGUUUGGUCUUGAUUCUUCUAGAAAAGAAAGGUAAAUCCUUAAAGGCGAAGGCAAGCUCUUCAAGUGUUGAACCUUGAACAUGCAUGUUACCUUUUUUGCUUUUGGGUGAUGACAGUAGAUAACAUUUCCAUGUGGAGCAUGACCGAGAAAGACAAAGGUCUAGAGAGUGGAUGACUGUGUUCAUUGAUUGAUUUUCCAUUUCCCAAGUUAUUGCAUUAGUUGAUCUUCCAACUUGGUUAAGGUAGUGGUUGAUGACGAAUGAGUUGAGACUUUCCAAAAAGGAUUUGCAAACGUGGAUUCAUAAUGUGUCAAUUGCGUCCCCAUGUUCCAACUCUUAUCCCUCUUGUGAAAAGCAAAGAUUUUUCAACUUUUUUUUUUGACGUGAAAGAACUGAUGGUGAAGAAAAUUAAACAUGAGCAAUGACUUUGUUUUAACUCAUCUUUCAUCACAAAAUCCUUAAUUAACACGGCUUUUAGCAUAAAACUUGGCUGCUACUACUUUUCCUCUUACCUUCCACAGAAAGUAAGCAAGAAAUUGACAAAUACCUCCUGCGUGCCCUCAUAAGUAUUAUUUGGCUCGUAUUCUCCCAAGAUAUAGGUGCCUAUCAAACUAUAAUGCGACGCAAGAAAAAUAAGAAGUAAAUAACAAAAGAAAUGUGAAAAUAAAAGCCAUAAAAUCAAACUAGUAUACUUACCUCUAUACAUAAGCUCUUUUUUUUGUUCAAAUUACUCAACAGGAGUGUGCAUGCAUCAAAUCAAAUUCGGUAAUUUGGAAUUUUAAAUUUGAAGUUUUUGGAAAUUUGGACAUUAGAAAAUUGAUCGAUUUCAAAUUCGAUUUCACAAUUCCAAAUUCAAUUUGAAAGUCGGUAAUAACCGAUUUCACCUAAUUCUGUAAUUAUAUGCAAGUUUUGCUAAACUAAAUGCCAACUUUUGUAUAAUAUAAGUGUGUAGUUAUACCAUAAUAUAUAACUAACUUAAUAAGACUUAUUAUUGUAUUGUUUUAUAAUACUAUUAUAAUUAGAUUUAUUAUUAUAUAAUAUAAAUUUUUAUAUUACAUAUAUAUUAAUAUAUAUAACACAUACGAAUUUGAAAUUGAAUAUCAAAUUAGGUAUUCGAUUCCGAUUUCGCAUUACGAAUUCGAAAUCCAAAAGUUCAUUUUGAGAAAACGUAUUCUCAAAUUCAAACCAAAUUCGUAUAUUUUGAAAAUAAAAAAAUUUGAUUUCCUUUUCACUUUUCGCUUUACCGAUUUCGAGAAUUCCAAAAUUCGAAUCGAAUUCGAUGAAAAUCGAUUUUUUUUAAGUUACAUGCUCCUAUAACUCAGAAUGAAUCACUUAUUAUAUAUUUAUACUCCACCUACGAAAGGACAUAAGAAUUUAUAACUCUCUUGUAGUAUAAAGCUAAGUUAAAAUAUCUAGCUCAAGAAAAAAAGAAAAAUACACACUUACACUUUUCAUAUUUUUUUUCCGUCAUUUCCCUAGAAACAAAACAAGCACCUUUAAUGUAGUAAUAAUAAUUUAAAAAAAAUGUUCGGGGCCAUUACAAAGGGCACAGUAAAUAUAUGGGGACACAACCAAAAUCAAGCCAAAUUUGAGAGCAACAAAGACGCUUAAAUAAUCGCGCUCUCUCCCGUCAAAUUAGGGUUCUUAUAUUCACAUUUCUAUUUUCUACACGCUGACAAUUCACACUCUCUACCUUCACUCCUUUCCCCAACAGAAUCAAUAAUAAAGUCGUAAGCCCAUUGUGUUUGUUUACAUCAGCACCAUCAUUCAUGUAAAUAUGUGCUUAGUUAUCUAAAAAAUUGUUUUUAGCCCUUAAAUGCUGGAUUGCAAUUCUUGUUUAUUUUCUUAAGCUUCACAAGUCCUCGUGAAUCUUUGGUGGCAGAUGCUGUAUUCUUCAUUAGAGGAGUUUUUAUUUCUGGGUUGGUAGUAAUGCUCGUAAGUUUCAAAUUUUUUAAUUGCUUCUUUCUUUUUACAUAAUAUGGUAUGAAUGAUUGGGAAUUAUUCUGUGCUUAGCUAUUUUUUUCAUUUAUUUUAAAAAAUUAUAGCUUGAGAUAUAGCAGUUGGCGGUUGUAGUCCAGUUUCAAUGAUUUUGUAAUAAUAGUGAAUUAUUACUGGUUAUUACAUUAAAAAUUAUGUUGUCUCUGUAUUUUUUAAAUUAUCCCCAAAAAAAAACAAUAAAAGAAGGCGAUUGGGAAAGCCAUAAAGGAGCCAGACACUGGUAAAGUAAUUUACGGGGCCAAAGAGUAAAAUCAAUAAAAAAAAGACAUUAUUGGAAAACGGGCACUUAAAUAUCCGUCAGGGUUCUUAUUCGCGUUUGCACAUGCAGAUGCUUCUCACUGUCCUUCUCUGUAUUUGUUUAUUCAACCCACAAAAUCAACAAAAAAUUGGUAAGUUCAUUUGUUUGUUUAUUUAGCUGUGAAGGAUUUUUCCCCCUGUUAAAUGGAUGAUUUAUUUAUGUUUUAAUUUCUUGAUCUUGAUUGUAGCUUGUGAACCUUUCGUUGCUAAUGCCAUAUUGUGUCUCUCAGGAGUUCUUUAUUUCUUGGUGGUUAGCUUUUCUCCAUAAAGUUUAUAUUUUGUUAUAACAAUUUGUUUCUGGUGAUUGGAUUUUAUUUUGUGCUUAGACCUAUUGAAGUUCGAUGAAAUUGUUAGUUCUGGAGCCUGAGUUAUUUAUUUUAUUUUAUUUUAUUUUUCGGCUGGAACUGGUCUGAAACUCGAAUGAAGAUGGAUGUAAAAUUUGUUCCCUAAGAUGGCUGUUAAGGUUUCUUUUGCAUAUGAGUCAACUAUAAAUGAAAAUAAUCCGAAAGUACUUCCACUUGUUCCUUAAGCCCUCGAAUGCCUUUCCUAGUUUUUCUUUCUCCUUUGAUCUAUUGAGACAUUGGAUAGUUUGGAUUUUGAACAAGAAAAUCUUGCAAGGGUACUCAAUAUUGAAUCGAUUGGUAUAUUUUGCACAUUAUCUUUUCAUAAGGGUUAGGUUCAUUCCAUAAGUCGACCACUCUCUUUAAAGAUUGUUCCUUUGUAAUAUUUGAUUGCAAGUAAGAAUGCAGCCUAAUACCAAACUUAAUCCAAAAAAACGUUGCUUAGUAUUUAAUUUGUUGUAUGCCUAGUCUGCCAUGCUCUGGGUAUAUGCAUGGAAGUCAAUUCCUAGAAUGCUACCAUUUACCAAAACAGUCUUGCGUGGUCUUCUUUCCCAAAGCACAUUCAUGCAAAAAAUAUUUAUCAAGCAUGGUAGCCAAUGGCUUCACAUUGGUGGACUGAAAAUUUAUGAGUUGUAAACGGCUUGCAAUACUGGAUGUCAUAUUGUUGAUUAGUCUUCUUAUUCCAGUAGUAUUUCCAUAUUCCAGAAUGAGAUGAUAGUCCUUGAAAAUAUAAAUGAGACUAACAUCUUCCCCAUUGCUCUUCUUAAGGUGAGAAGCUCACUGGAAAUAGGAUGUGAAGCAUCUACACAGGAAGGAAGGAUUACAUUCAUUUGCUGCAUUUAGUGCUACAAGUGCCAAAGGGCACUGCUUCACCAGAAAUCAUCCUUCAGUGUUUAUUUUUUUGUUGCUAUCUUCAAACCAUGAAGCUUUCUGUAGUUUUCAAAUCCUUGCGUAGCUAUCCCGCUCUUCGUGUGGUUACUGUCUCUCUACAGUCUCGUGCAUUUCAGCCUGAUUUCAUUCCCAGGGAUCCCAAAUCAAAGCCCGUAAGACACAAGUAUCCAGCUUUCUAUGAUCCUUAUGGCCCUAGACCCCCACCUUCAGAUAAGAUCAUUUGGCUUGCAGAGCAGAUUGCAGCCCUGUCUCCGAAAGAGCGUAAUUUUAUUGGUCCCACGCUUAGAGACAGACUAAGGCAUCCUAAGAUUCAACCAGUUUUAGUGGAGGGCAUGGACUUGGGUCCUGAUGGAGGGUCUGGUGCUGGGUCUUCAAAGGCUGAGAAGAAAAAGGUCGAAAAAAUUGCAUUUGAUGUCAAGUUAGUAAAGUUUGAUGCUGUUGCAAAAAUUAAGGUGAUCAAAGAGGUUCGUGCUUCCACAAAUUUGGGGUUGAAGGAAGCCAAAGAUUUAGUUGAGAAAGUACCAGUUUUAAUUAAGCAAGGUAUCACUAAAGAAGAGGCAAAUGAUAUUAUAGAGAAGAUCAAGGCUGUAGGGGAGUUGCUGUUAUGGAGUAGAUUUUCAUCGAGUUUUGUAUGCUUUCUUUGAACUGUUAUCAAAGUUCUAUUGCCAAUUUUUCGCUCUGAUAGAGAAACAACUGUCAUUCUGAAGAUAUUGUUCUUGCUGUUAAUCGUCAAAAGAUACGAAUUGCAAACAAACGGAUGUUACUAAUAAUCUUUGAAGAGAAUCCUUUCAGAAAUGGCACCAAACAGGUCUGAGGUCUUAGAGCAAAAUGAAGAUAAAAAAGGUGAAAAGCACUGAGGAAGAUGUCGGACGCACAAAAGGAGAGUAUCAGACGUCCGACAUCCAUUGAGUAUCUUCGGACGAAUGAAGAACUCAGACUUGGACGUCCGAAGAAGGCAAUCCAGGGCUUCUACAACUACUGAUCAGGAUCGGACGCUCAACACCUGAGCAUCGGACUUCCGACAAGCAUUGCUGCUCUUCGGACGCAACAUCUUGGAUGUAUCGGCCGUCCGAAAGAAUUAAAGAGGAACCUCCAAGUUUGCAUCUUACCCUCGGACGCAUGGCGAGAAGGGAUCGGACGUCCUAAGUGGGUCAAGAAAAUUUCUCGAACUCACUGACCUCGCUCGGACGCAUAAAAACUGACUACCGGACGUCCGACAGCACCAAUGGCUAGUUGACUCUUCAGAUGCCUUCUACCCAUUGACAGCAUUAAUUGAAGAAUUUUCUGAUCUCCUAUAAAAAGAACAAAGUCAACCACCUCAGAAGAACUUUACACAUUAAGUUUACAUCAGAUCUUGAGUGAUUCAAGUGUGUGAAUACUCCAAAAAGAAGAUUUGUACUCUUAGUUGUGUAAUCUUCUUUUAACUUUUCAAGUGUGAUCUAAUUUCAUCAAUAGUGUAGCUUUGUGAGGGUUAUCCGUGUGAUUGUAAAACUUCUUUGCUUGUUCGAGUGAGACUUGAGGCAAGAAGGAAAUGAUCCUUCGUUUGUACACAAGAGAUUGGUUGAAAGUUGAUCUACUGUGAAAUAGCUUGAUACAUAUACAAAGUGUUGUUCAAACUUAGUCAAGUUUGAAAUUUGGUUUGCAAAUUCCAUCCUCUCAUUUAUUGUCUUGAUAUAAAUUGCUUACUUGUUCUACUUACAAACUAUUUGUACUAAUCCAUCAACUGGUUUUCAGUAAGGUUCCUUUGAAAAAGAAAUCCAGGUCAAAGAAAAGGAGGAAAGGUGUCUCAUAUCUUGGCCUGAUUUUUAGUUAACCUAAUUCACCCCCCUCUUAGGUUGUCUUCGAUCCUUACAAUUGGUAUCAGAACUUGGUCUCCUUGAGGCUAAGCUCAAUCGGCUUGGGAGUAAAAAAUGACAACCAACAAUGCCAUGUUCUUUGAGGGACAAUCUGUCACCAGACCUCCUAUGUUCAAUGGGUCAAACUAUGUGAGCUGGAAGGAGAGGAUGAUCAUCUUCUUACAAUCUAUUGAUAUUGAGCUAUGGUUUAUUGUCAAUGAAUGACCGUUUGAUACUUCUACUAUAUUGAUGCAGAGACGAACAGGCCGAGAUCAAAAACAAGAAGGGAACUAACUGCUGAAGACAGAACUCAUCUUACUCUAAAUGCCAAGGCGAUGAACAUUCUGUACAGUGCUUUAGACUCAAACGAAUCUGUUAGAGUCAAGGGCUGCAAAUCUGUAAAAGAAAUCUGGGAUAAAUUUUGAGAAAUACAUGACAGAAGUGAAAAUGUGAGAGAACAGAAGAAGUCCAUUCUGGUCACGAAGUAUGAAUCCUUCAAAAUAGAACCUCACGAAAAUAUCGACAAGAUGUAUUGCAGAUUCAAUGAUCUUAUUAAGGAUUUAGAAGUUCUUGAGAAAGAUUACUCUCUAGGUUAGAAAAACAGAAAAAUUCUGAAUGCUUUGUCAAAGGAUUGGGAGAGCAAAGUAACUGCCAUUGAGGAAGCCAAAGAUCUGAACACUCUAUCUAUUGAAUCCCUUAUAAAUUCAUUAACCUCUUAUGAGUUAAAACUCAAGUCUAAGGUGUAGGAAGAAAAGACACAAAAGUUAGAAAAAGCAUAGCUCUGAAGACCUUACAAGAAGAAGAUGAUACAAUCUCACUUGAUGAAGAUGACAUGGAAGGUGAUGACAGUGACAUUGCACUCAUCACACGAGGCUUCAAAAGAAUAUUCAAAAAGAGAAGAUUCAGAAAAGGAGGACAUAGCAAUUCCUUUCCAAAUCAGACCAACAGUUUCAGAAAUAAAGGAAAGCUAGAAUUCAACAAAAAGCAAACUGACAAGUGUUUUGAAUGUGGCCAACCUGGACACUAUGCAAAUGAGUGUCCAAUGGAGAAAAAGAAGGAGAACAAGGUUGAACGAAAACCAAAGUUCAACAAUUUCCAAAUCACCUGGAAUGAUUGCAACUCAGAAGGUGAAGUUGAGGAAGAAGAAGAAUCUGCUCAAGUGGCUUUCAUGGCCAUUGGAGAUGAAGAGGUAACUUAAUGCAACUCUCAAACUGAUAGUGAUAGUGAUUCUGAUGAAGAUGUUAAUUCUUUUCUAGAAAAAAUGCACAACAAUUUAAAAGAAUCAUAUGUUAGAAACAAGGAACUAAAACAGAAAGUUAGCUUUCUAUUACAAGAUAAUGCAAAUCUUUUUCAACAAAACAAGGGUCUUCAGCAUGAAAAUGAGAACCUGAAAAGGAUUGAAACUGAUGUGCUUGCUGAACUUGACAAAAGGACAAGAUUCUGUAACAUAUUCAGAAGUGAACAAUGCAGUCUAAAUAGGAGGAUGGAUGAUUUAUGUCAAUUGUUGCAACAAAUAAAACAGACCGCCUUCAGAAAAACAACACUGAACCUCAUCUUAACACUCAUCAGACAAGAUUGAAUUAUAGUAAAAAUGAGUUUAAUAUCUACAGGAGAAGGCAAGUCAAAUUUAUUAAACCUGUUCAUUUGAUUGAUCUAAUAACUGUAUGCAAUUUUUGUUGUCAAUUUGGUCACAUGAGUAGCAACUGCUAUGUUUAGAAAAACAUGAGAAAUGGAAUGAGAUGCAUGUGGAUUGUUAGACAUAAUGCUAACCAUGAAGGACCCAAAAAGUAAUGGGUACCAAACAUUAUAUUGUGGACUUCUGUGUAGGUAAAACUGGUGAACAUUGUUAAAGAAUCAAAAUGAUUCAUAGAUAGUGGUUGCUCAAGACAUAUGACUGGUGAUGCAUCCCGGUUCAUCAAGCUCAAGCCAAAAACAAGUGGAAAGGUUACCUUUGGAGACGAUAAUAAAGUCAAAACUAUUGGAGUUGGUGAUGUUGGUAAGAAUGGUCAGACUUUUGUUCAUAAUGUUCUUUUAGUUGAUAACUUGGGCUACAAUUUGCUAAGUGUUAGCCAACUAUGUGAUAGGAAUCUGCUUGUAUUAUUUAAGAAACAUGAAUGCCUUGUUCUUGACUCAAAGUUUAACAUUAUUUUCAAGGGAAAAAGAGUUAAUGAUAUUUAUGUGGUGUUUCUUGAAAAAGUUGAUGCUUCUAGCCUUAGUUGUCUCAAAGUUGCAAAUGAGGAUCCCUGGUUAUGGCACAGAAGGCUUUGUCACUUCAAUAUGGAUUUGCUGAAAGAGAUUUCCAAAAAGGACCUGAUUAGAGGCUAUCAAAACUCAAUUUUUGUAAAGAUCGCAUCUGUGAUGCUUGCCAAUUUGAAAAACAAGUUAAGAUAUCUUUUAAACCAAAAAAAUGUAUUUCAACCUCUAAGCCCUUAGAACUUCUUCAUCUUGAUCUUUUUGGCCCAACUCAAACCUCAAGCCUUGGUGGGAAGAGAUUCUGUUUUGUUGUUGUUGAUGACUAUUCUAGAUACACUUGGGUGAUGUUUCUUGCACAUAAAGAUGAUGCUUUCAAAAACUUUGUUUCCCUGUUUGCAAGGUUCAAAAUCUGAUUGGUUUAAAAAUCAUAAAAAUAAGAAGUGACAAUGGCACAGAAUUUCAUUUUUGUGAUUUUCCUGAAUUUUGUGACAACAACGGUAUUACACAUGAAUUUUCUAUUGCAAGAGUACCUCAGCAAAAUGGAGUGGUUGAGAGGAAAAAUAGAACUCUUCAAGAAGCUGCUAGAACCAUGCUCAGUGAAUGCAAUUUGCGAAAGUACUUUUGGGCUGAAACCAUAAACACAGCAUGUUAUACCGUGAACAGAGUUCUCUUAAGACCAAUUUUGAACAAAACUUCCUAUGAGCUCAUGUUUGACAAAUAGCCUGUUGUUGGUUACUUUAAAGUCUUUGGUUGUAAAUAUUUUAUCUUGAACAUCAAGGAACAUCUUGGAAAGUUUGACAAGAAAUCUGAUGAGGGAAUUUUCUUGGGAUAUUGUGAAAACAAGAGAGACUUUAGAGUUUAUAAUCGUAGAACUCUGGUUAUAGAAGAAACCAUACAUAUCACUUUUGAUGAAUCUAAUGGUGAUACUUCCAUGAGUUGCGGUGAAGAUGAUGAUACAGGUGUUCGAGAUGAACUAAAGAAGUUGACGAUCAGCAAUCAAGACACAGCCCCAUCAGAAAAUGAUUCAAAGGAUGAUGAAAAUCAAGACAGUCCUGCUAGAGAAGACAAUGACAGUGAUACUGAAAUUCCUAGUGAUUUUCCAAGAGCCUGGAAAUUUGUCCAAAAUCACCCCAAGGAACUUAUCAUUGAGGAUCCAUCUGAAAAGGUCAGAACACGUUCCUUUUCAAGACAAUUAAUAGAUAACUUUGCAUUGGUCUCACAUUUUGAGCCCAAAAAUGUUGUUGAUGCAUUAAAAGAUGAGAACUGAAUUUUAGCCAUGGAAGAGGAGUUAAAUCAAUUUGAAAGAAACAAGGUCUGGACAUUAGUUGCUAGACCACAAAAUCACUCCAUUAUUGGCACUAAGUGGGUUUUUAGAAACAAAAUGAAUGACAAAGCUGAGGUAGUUAGAAAUAAGGCCAGAUUGGUAGCCAAGGGAUACACUCAAGAAGAAGAAAUAGAUUUUGAUGAAUCUUUUACACCCGUAACUAGGUUAGAAUCUAUUAGAAUGUUUUUAGCUUUUGCAUGUUUCAAGUACUUUAAGUUAUUUCAAAUGGAUGUUAAAAGUGUCUUCUUAAAUAGUUUUAUUGAUCAAGAAAUUUAUGUUGAUCAACCUCCUGGUUUUGAAAAUGAAAAUUAUCCAAAUCAUGUUUUCAAACUCUCAAAAGCCUUAUAUGGCAUAAAACAAGCUCCAAGAGCAUGGUAUGAACGUUUGAGUGAUUUUUUGAUUGAAAAUGGUUUCAAAAAAGGUAUAGUGGAUACUACCCUUUUCACUAAACAAAGUUUGCAUGAUUUUCUAAUUGUUCAAAUUUAUGUUGAUGAUAUCAUAUUUGGUGCUACUAAUGAGAGAUUGUGCAAGGAUUUCUCCGAGAUCAUGCAAAAAGAGUUUGAAAUGAGCAUGAUGGGAGAACUUAGUUUCUUCCUUGAACUCCAAGUGACACAAGCCCAAGAAGGAACAUUCAUCAAUCAAACCAAAUACACCAAGAAACUGCUGAAAAGAUUUGGUAUGAAGGACUCAAAGCAAGUUGGAACACCCAUGUGAACAUCUGUCAAGCUUGACAAAGAUGAAGAAGGUACAAAAGUUGAUGAAAAGAAGUAUAGAGGUAUGAUUGGUAGCCUGCUUUAUUUAACUGCGAGUAGACCUGAUAUCAUGUUUACUGUGUGCUUGUGUGCUCAUUUUCAAUCUUGUCCAAAGGAAUCACAUUUAACUGCUGUAAAACGAAUCUUUAGAUACUUAAAAGGAACUGUGAAUUUUGGCCUUUGGUAUGCUAAAUGUUAUGAACUUCCCUUGUAUGGAUUCUCUGAUGCUGAUUUUGGUGGCUGUAGAGUAAAUAGAAAAAGUACAACUGGUAUAUGUAAUUUUCUUGGAAAUUGCUUAGUGUCCUGGUUCAGUAAGAAACAGAACGCCAUUUCAUUAUCUACCACCGAAGCAGAAUAUGUUGCUGCUGGUGCCUAUUGUGCUCAAUUAUUGUGGAUGAAAAACACAUUGAAUGAUUUCAGUUUAGUAUAUAAUUCUGUACCUAUGUUUUGUGACAACACUAGUGCCAUCAAUUUGACAAAAAAUCCCAUUCAACAUUCUAGGACAAAGCAUAUAGAUAUUAAGCAUCACUUCAUUCGUGAUCUUGUCCACAAGGGUGAAAUUUGUAUUCAAUACGUCUGUUCCAAAGAUCAAAUUGCUGAUAUUCUCACAAAAAUCCUUCCACUGGAUCAUUUUGUAUAUCUGAGAACAAAACUGGGCAUCUCAAAAAAAUCCUCUAAGUUUCCAUUUGGUCACUUCUUAUCAAAUGUCCGAUACAUUUAGGGCUGACAACGGGUCGGGUCCGGGCCGAAAUUCAUUAUUCCAGAUCCGGACCCGAAUUACUAUACCGGAUCCGGAUCCGACCCGUUUAUCCGACGGAUCUUUUAUUCUAUGUUCCGGAUCCAGAUCCGGCGGGUCUCGGAUCCGGGUCGGUCUACCCGAACAAAUUUAGCAAAAUUUAUGAUUUCUAAUAAAAAUGAGAAAAAAAAUAUAUUUGUAAACUAAUUUCUAACUAAUGCAAAGAAAAACCAAAUAAGAAAAGAAAUCAAAUUGACUUUAUUCAAAUACAUCAUCCUAAUCAAAUUAUAUUAAUGAAUAUAUAUUUUUUAAAUUAUUAAUUCAUUUAUAUUCGGAUUCGGAUCUAAUACGGGUCGAAAUACUAUAUUCCGUAUCCGACUCAUUUUUUUGUUUGACAAAACGGAUCCGGAUCAGGAUCCGGGUAACGAAAUUAAAUCCCUACCCAUACCAGCAAUAAUUUUACGAAUCAGGUCCGGAUCCGGGUCUAGACCCGACCCAUUGACAGGCUUAGAUACAUUCAAAACGGACGUCCGACAGUGUUCUUCACUCUCUUCUGGAAAGGCACUGGUUCGGACGGUUGUGUCAGAUGUUCACUUCAUUCGGACGUCCGACACUCAAAAAUUGAGCCUUAUAAGACAGUUACCCACCUCACUCAGUUCAUUUUCCUCCACGGUCUCGGACGCAACCCUUCAGUCUCCUCUCAAAUUUAAAAUUCAAAUUCCUCUCUCCUCAAAUCAAGUUCCAAGAAAUUGACUCAACCAACGGCCUUACAACUCUGUUGCCCGUUAACCACCCGUAAAAAUCACUCCUAACCCCCAACUACCCCAUUGUUCCCAAUUCACAUCCGAAACCCUAAUUUCUUAUAACUCUCUCCUUGUGACAUUUCAGUGCAUUCUCACUUUUUGUUCAUACUGCAUUCUUCCUCUGAACCACACAUUCUGCAUCAAAAACACAUCCACAUUGCAUCAUGGUUAGAAUCAGAGGAGGAUCUACUAGUGCCGGACGGUCCUUUAGACUUAGAGAUGAAGACAUUGAAAUUGUGGAACCGUCUACCAAAAUACCUAAAAGGAAGAUUGUGACCCAAGGUGGUAAAGUGAGGCAAACUGCCCAAAGAAAGAGGGUUACUCCAACUGCUGAACCAUCUGAUGAGCAGAUAGAAGAGCAGAACUCUGAUGAAAUCACAGUUGGUGGAAAUGAGGAACCAGAACAAGCUAUCCAGAAUGUUGAAUCUAUCUCAAGGCCAUCUGGUAAAAGAAAAAGAACAGCAAAGAAGAAGAGCACUCUCCAAUCCAAGAAAAAGCAAUCUGCUGAUCCCUCUGAUGAUCAGCAGAAUGAGGGAAACAUUGCUGAGACUCAGCAAACACCUGAACCCUCCACCAGGAAAUCUCCAAGGACAAGGACUGAGGCUUAAAAUGUUGGGUCAUCUGGCACACAAACCUCAAAUACGAAACGUUCUGGAAAGGUUCCUGUUUCUCAGCCCAUAGAAGAACCCACUCCUUUCCCCAAAUUCAUUGAUGAUGAAACCAGAGACAGAUUUGAGUUAGUCUCUCAAAAAGGAUUCAUCACCCAAAGGCUCAUCCUUCCAUAUGAAUUUCGUAAACUUGAUCUUGAACCUGUUAUUAAACUGUUUGAAUUCCAAAAAUGGACUCACAUUCUGACCAUUACUCAUGUCUUUUACCCUGACAUGCUUUAUCAAUUCUUUGCUAAUCAUAGAAAGGGUAAAUCACACAUUGAACUCAUCUCUAGGGUCAACUCUAUAGACAUUACGUUAACUCCUGACAUUGUGAAUUCCAUUCUGAAAACUAGUAUUGAAUCUAGUUUCAAAGGAAAAAUUGCAAAUUUCUUUUCGUAUGAGGAGUUUCCUUCUGCCUACCAUCAUUUUUACAAUGCUAAACUCAUGACCUAUUUUCAAACCCACUUCAAUACUCCUGUUGAGGUAAGAUUAGAUGAUCUCAGUCCUCAGAAUCUAAUCAUUUUCACCAUCAUUUCGAAUCUGUUGGUGCCAACUGAUGGCCACAGAACAGAUGCAAACAAAAAGAAACUUUAUCUUUUCUACUGCUUUGUUGAAAAAAUCCGCAUUGAUUUUGGAUUUGUAAUGUGCAAGUUUCUGCUCAAAAUUAGCACUGACAGUCGUAGGAAGCUCUCUUAUGGCAGAUUUCUGACCCCUAUCUUUACCCAUUUUGAAAUAACUUUUUCUAGAAAAUCUCCCAAAGACAGUGCUUCAUCAGUUUUCUCAAAAGCUUAUUUUGAAAGAAAGAACUUAAAAUUUUUUGAAGGCCAUUGGUGCUAUAAGGAGACUAUGGCUGAGUCUAGAAGGAAAAACUUCCAUGAAACCCCUAUCACUCCUAAGGCUCCUCGUGAUCAGUCAGGUUAUAUCUCUCAUUUCACCAUUCAUCCUAGAAAGUCUGCCAGCAAGUCCUUCGCAUCCAAUUCUGAAAUCAUCUCCUUGCUUGAAGACCUAAAACAGCAUGUUAUGCUUAUUGAAGAUGGUCUCAUGAUGACUAUGACCCCUGCCCAACAAUCUUCCUUUAUGGAAAAAAGGAACCUUUCUUGUGCCUCCAAUACCUGAAAAUAAUGAAAAUGCUCAUCAGAAAGAGCCAAGACCUGAACCCACAGGGCCAACUACUGGUACUGAUGCCACACCAGCUUCCAGCUCUCAGCCCAAGGAUAAAGGCAAGGCUCCAGCUACUGUGGAGGCAUAUGAAGAAGACGAUGAAGAAACUGAAGAAGAAGAGGAUCCUGAACAGUUUCGUCUUGCCAGAAGGAGGCCUGGAUCAUCUAAAAUCACUAUCUAGGCACUGCUAGGUCACUGCACUUUAUUUUAGACUUGUGGUUCAUCUUUUGCACUACAGAACUUUUCGUUUGUUAUGUACUAAGAAUUAUAUUUCUGGUCUACUUUUCGUACAAUUGGAUGUUUUCUACUAUUUUUGAUGUUAUCUGCUAUGAAUAGCUACGUUUCUGUGUUUGUUAUGAAUGAAUGUGUUUCUGUGUUUCUGGGCAUGAAUGGACUUUUCUGAUAUUAUCUGAUCUUUGUUGUCAAAAUUUUUAUUGCUAAUGGAUCACUGAUGACAAAAUUGAUCAGUUCUAAAGAAAUUGAUCAUGGCAAACCUGCUUUUGUGAUGACAAAAAGAGGGAGAAAUGUACUAGCACUAAUGGUAUAAAGAAAUUAGUUAGGGGUGUCAGUUUUAGGGAGAGGUGCAUUUCUUUUCGUAUACUCAUUGCACUUUGUUAGGGGGAGCUGUUAUCCCAGUUUGUAUUUCUUUUUGCUCUAUCCAUGUGUUUUGUCAUCAUAAAAAAGGGGGAGAUUGUUUAUCCAAUUCAUAUCUUUUGAUGAUUAACAAAACAAACGGAUGUUACUAAUAAUCUUUGAAGAGAAUCCUUUCAGAAAUGGCACCAAACAGGUCUGAGGUCUCAGAGCAAAAAGAAGAUCAAAAAGGUGAAAAAUACUGAGGAAGAUGUCGAACGCACAAAAGGAGAGUAUCGGACAUCUGACAUCCAUUGAGUAUCUUCGGACGAAUGAAAACUCAGACUCGGACGUCCGAAGAAGGCAAGCCAGGGCUUCUACAACUACUGAUCACGAUCGGACGCUCAACACCUGAGCAUUGGACGUCCGACAAGUAUUGCUGCUCUUCGGACGCAACAUCUUGGAUGUAUCGGCCGUCCGAAAGAAUUAAAGAGGAACCUCCAAGUUUGCAUCUUACCCUCGGACGCAUGGCGAGAAGGAUCGGGCGUCCUAAGUGGGUCAAGAAAAUUUCUCGAACUCACUGACCUCGCUCGGACGCAUAAAAACUGACUAUCGAACGUCCGACAGCACCAACGGCUAGUUGACUUUUCAGAUGCCUUCUACCCGUUGACAGCAUUAAUUGAAGAAUUUUCUGAUCUCCUAUAAAAAGAACAAAGUCAACCACCUCAGAAGAACUUUACACAUUAAGUCUACAUCAGAUCUUGAGUGAUUCAAGUGUGUGAAUACUCCAAAAAGAAGAUUUGUACUCUUAGUUGUGUAAUCUUCUUUUAGCUUUUCAAGUGUGAUCUAAUUUCAUCAAUAAUGUAGCUUUGUGAGGGUUAUCCGUGUGAUUGUAAAAUUUCUUUGCUUGUUCGAGUGAGACUUGAGGCAAGAAGGAAGUGAUCCUUCGUUUGUACACAAGAGAUUGGUUGAAAGUUGAUCUACUGUGAAGUAGCUUGAUACAUAUACAAAGUGUUGUUCAAACUUAGUCAAGUUUGAAAUUUGUUUGCAAAUUCCAUCCUCUCAUUUAUUGUCUUGAUAUAAAUUGCUUACUUGUUCUACUUACAAACUAUUUGUACUAAUCCAUCAACUGGUUUUCAGUAAGGUUCCUUUGAAAAAGAAAUCCAGGUCAAAGAAAAGGAGGAAAGGUGUCUCAUAUCUUGGCCUGAUUUUUAGUUAACCUAAUUCACCCCCUCUUAGGCUAUCUUCGAUCCUUACACUUGCAUAUUCAAAAGAAUGAAACUUUCCUUGCUAGGUAAAGGAGGAACAUUAUUAUAUAUUCCUUCAAAUUUGGUUGUCAUACUUGAUAUUUUGUGCUGACCCUUAAUGGGAUUUUGGGAUACGUAUGGGCCACCAGGGAAAUUGGCUUAACAGAUGUCUGGUUUGUGUAAAAUUGCUGGUGGAUGAUAUUGGAAUUAUUGCUGAUUUAGCUGUGGUUGCAACUUACAAGUAGUCUGUUUGCUUCAGCAUUUUAACAUGGCGACUGACUUUUCAGUGGCCGCAAAUGGCCUCUGUCCAUUUUUUGAGAUGUCCAAACAGUUACAUUUCAGGCUUUUGCCAGGUAUGGAAAUUUUGGAAUCGAAUUAUGAGCUCUCAGCAUGCGAUUUUCACUUAACUGAUCCCCAGCAAUUAACAGACCCGCACUCUAGUAGAUACAUUUUUAGCCACUUCAUGCAAUAUUUGAAAAUAUUUCUUACGCAAAUAUGAGAUGUGUAACCUUCAUUGUUGUAGUCGAAUAGCAUUCCUAAUUGACCAAUUGUUACUGGUCAAUUAGUUAAUCUUAACCUGAAAGCAAUAGUAGAGUAAAUAAACAUGAUUGUGGCCCAAGUCUUCAGUUCUUUGGCUAGAUGAUAGUUAAUACACGAUUAUGGUCUUGAUUCUUCAAUUCUUUGGAUGGAUGGAACUAUUGGGAAAUUGUUCAUUUAAUAAACAUGUUUGGUCUUGAUUCUUCUAGAAAAGAAAGGUAAAUUCUUAAAGGCGAAGGCAAGCUCUUCGAGUGUCGAACUUGAACAUGCAUGUUACCUUUUUUGCUUUUGGGUGAUGACAGUAGAUAACAUUUCAUGUGGAGCAUGACCGAGAAAGACAAAGGUCUAGAGAACGGAUGACUGUGUUCAUUGAUUGAUUUUUCAUUUCCCAAGUUAUUGCAUUUGUUGAUCUUCCAACUUGGUUAAGAUAGUGGUUGAUGACGAAUGAGUUGAGGCUUUCCAAAAAGGAUUUGCAAACGUGGAUUCAUAAUGUGUCAAUUGCGUCCCCAUGUUCCAACUCUUAUCCCUCUUGUGAAAAGCAAAGAUUUUUCAACUUUUUUUUUGACGUGAAAGAGUUGAUGGUGAAGAAAAUUAAACAUGAGCAAUGACUUUGUUUUAACUCCUCUUUCAUCACAAAAUCCUUAAUUAACACGACUUUUAGCAUAAAACUUGGCUGCUACUACUUUUCCUCUUACCUUGCCACACAAAAUAAGCAAGAAAUUGACAAAUACCUCCUGCGUGCCCUCAUAAGUAUUAUUUGGCUCGUAUUCUCCCAAGAUAUAGGUGCCUAUCAAACUAUAAUGCGACGCAAGAAAAAUAAGAAGUAAAUAACAAAAGAAAUGUGAAAAUAAAAGCCAUAAAAUCAAACUAGUAUAACUUACCUCUAUACAUAAGCUCUUUUUUUUUGUUCAAAUUACUCAACAGGAGUGUGCAUCAAAAUCAAAUUCGGUAAUUUGGAAUUUUAAAUUUGAAGUUUUUGGAAAUUUGGACAUUAGAAAAUUUGAUCGAUUUCAAAUUCGAUUUCACAAUUUCCAAAUUCAAUUUGAAAGUCGGUAAUAACCGAUUUCACCUAAUUCUGUAAUUAUAUGUAAGUUUGCUAAACUAAAUGCCAACUUUUGUAUAAUAUAAGUUAUAGUUAUAACAUAAUAUACAACUAACUUAAUAGGACUUAUUAUUGUAUUGUUUUAUAAUAUUAUUAUAAAUAGAUUUAAUAUUAUAUAAUAUAAAUUUUAUAUCACAUAUAUAUUAAUAUAUAUAACACAUACGAAUUUGAAAUUGAAUAUCAAAUUAGGUAUUCGAUUCCGAUUUCGUAUUGUGAAUUCGAAAUCCAAAAUUUCGUUUUGAGAAAACAUAUUCUCAAAUUCAAACCAAAUUCGUUUAUUUUGAAAAUAAAAAAAUUCGAUUUCCUUUUCGUUUUUCGCUUUACCGAUUUCGAGAAUUCCAAAAUUCGAAUCAAACUCGAUCGAUAAAUCGAUUUUUUUUAAGUUACAUGCUCCUAUAACUCAGAAUGAAUCACUUAUUAUAUAUUUAUACUCCACCUAAGAAAGGACAUAAGAAUUUAUAACUCUCUUGUAAUAUAAAGCUAAGUUAAAAUAUCAAACUCAAGAAAAAAGAAAAAUACACGCUUACACAUUUCAUACUUUUCCCCCGUCAUUUCCCUAGAAACAAAACAAGCACCUUUAAUGUAAUAAUAAAAAUUUUAAAAAAAAUGUUCGGGGCCAUUACAAAGGGCACAGCAAAUAUGCGGGGACACAACCAGAAAUCAAGCCAAAUUUGAGGGCAACAAGGAAGUUUAAAUAAUCGCGCUCUCUCCGUCAAAGUUGGCUGUUAAGGUUUCUUUUGCAUAUGAGUGAACUAUGAAUGAAAAUAAUCCGAAAGUACUUGCACUUGUUCCUUACUUAAGCCCUCGAAUGCCUUUCCUAGUUUUUCUUUCUCCAUUGAUCUAUUGAAACAUUGAGAGUUUGGAUUUUGAACAAGAAAAUCUUGCAAGGGUACUCAAUAUUGAAUCGAUUGGUAUAUUUUGCACAUUAGCUUUUCAUAAGGUUUAGGUUCAUUCCAUAAGUCGACCACUCUCUUUAAAGAUUGUUCCUUUGUAAUAUUUGAUUGCAAGUAAGAAUGCAGCCUAAUACCAAACUUAAUCCAAAAAAACGUUGCUUAGUAUUUAAUUUGUUGUAUGCCUAGUCUGCCAUGCUCUGGGUAUAUGCAUGGAAGUCAAUUCCUAGAAUGCUACCAUUUACCAAAACAUUCUUGCGUGUGGUCUUCUUUCCCAAAGCACAUUUAUGCAAAAAAUAUUUAUCAAGCAUGGUAGCCAAUGGCUUCACAUUGGUGGACUGAAAAUUUAUGAGUUGUAAACGGCUUGCAAUACUGGAUGUCAUAUUGUUGAUUAGUCUUCUUAUACCAGUAGGAUUUCCAUAUUCCAGAAUGAGAUGAUAGUCCUUGAAAAUAUGAAUGGGACUGACAUCUUCCCCAUUUCUCUUCUUAAGGUGAGAAGCUCACUGGAAAUAGGAUGUGAAGCUUCUACACAGGAAGGAAGGAUUUUGCUACAUUUAGUGCUACAGGUGCCAAAGGGCACUGCUUCACCAUAAAUCAUCCUUCAGUGUUUAUUUUUUUGUAACUAUCUUCAAACCAUGAAGCUUUCUGUAGUUUUCAAAUCCUUGCGUAGCUAUCCCGCUUUUCGUGUGGUUACUGGCCCUCUACAGUCUCGUGCUUUUCAGCCUGAUUUCAUUCCCAGGGACCCCAAAUCAAAGCCCGUAAGACACAAGUAUCCUGCUUUCUUUGAUCCUUAUAGCCCUAGACCCCUAACUUCAGAUAAGAUCAUUCGGCUUGCAGAGCAGAUUGCAGCCCUGUCUCCUGAAGAGCGUAAUUUAAUUGGUCCCACGCUUAGAGACAGACUAAGGCAUCCUAAGAUUCAACCAGUUUUAGUGGAGGGCAUGGACUUGGGUCCUCAGGGAGGGUCUGGUGCUGGGUAUUCAAAGGCUGAGGAGAAGAAGGUUGAAAAAACUGCAUUUGAAAAAACUGCAUUUUAACAUGGCGGCUGACUUUUCAGUGGCCGCAAAUGGCCUCUGUCCAUUUUUGAGAUGCCAAACAGUUACAUUUCAGGUUUUUGCCAGGUAUGGAAAUUUUGGAAUUGAAUUAUGAACUCUCAGCAUGCGAUUUUCACUUAACUGAUCCCCAGCAAUUAACAGACCCACACCCAGUAGAUUUUUUAGCCACUUCAUGCAAUAUUUGAAAAUAUUUCUUGCGCAAAUAUGAGAUGUGUAACCUUCAUUGUUGUAGUCGAAUAGCAUUCCUAAUGACCAAUUGUUACUGGUCAAUUAGUUCAUCUUAACCUGAAAGCAGUAGUAGAGUAAAUAAACAUGAUUGUGGCCCAAGUCUUCAGUUCUUUGGCCAGAUGAUGUUAAUAUACGAUUAUGGUCUUGAUUCUUCAAUUCUUUGGAUGGAUGGAACUAUUAGGAAAUUGUUCAUUUAAUAAACAUGUUUGGUCUUGAUUCUUCUAGAAAAGAAAGGUAAAUCUUAAAGGCGAAGGCAAGCUCUUCAAGUGUCGAACCUUGAACAUGCAUGUUACCUUUUUUGCUUUUGGGUGAUGACAGUAGAUAACAUUUCCAUGUGGAGCAUGACCGAGAAAGACAAAGGUCUAGAGACGGAUGACUGUGUUCAUUGAUUGAUUUUUCCAUUUCCCAAGUUAUUGCAUUGUUGAUCUUCCAACUUGGUUAAGUAGUGGUUGAUGACGAAUGAGUUGAGGCUUUCCAAAAAGGAUUUGCAAACGUGGAUUCAUAAUGUGUCAAUUGCGUCCCCAUGUUCCAACUCUUAUCCCUCUUGUGAAAAGCAAAGAUUUUUCAACUUUUUUUUUUUGACGUGAAAGAGCUGAUGGUGAAGAAAAUAAACAUGAGCAAUGACUUUGUUUUAACUCCUCUUUCAUCACAAAAUCCUUAAUUAACACGUUUAGCAUAAAACUUGGCUGCUACUACUUUUCCUCUUACCUUGCCACACAAAAUAAGCAAGAAAUUGACAAAUACCUCCUGCGUGCCCUCAUAAGUAUUAUUGGCUGUAUUCUCCCAAGAUAUAGGUGCCUAUCAAACUAUAAUGCGACGCAAGAAAAAUAAGAAGUAAAUAACAAAAGAAAUGUGAAAAUAAAAGCCAUAAAAUCAAACUAGUAUAGCUUACCUCUAUACAUAAGCUUUUUUUGUUCAAAUUACUCAACAGGAGUGUGCAUCGAAAUCAAAUUCGAUAAUAAAUUUUUGGAAAUUUGGACAUUAGAAAAUUCGAUCGAUUUCAAAUUCGAUUUCACAAAUUCCGAAUUCAAUUUGAAAGUCGGUAAUAACCGAUUUCACCUAAUUCUGUAAUUAUAUGUAAGUUUUGCUAAACUAAAUGCCAACUUUUGUAUAAUAUAAGUUUAUAGUUAUAACCUAAUAUCAACUAACUUAAUAAGACUUAUUAUUGUAUUGUUUUAUAAUAUAAUUAUAAUUAGAUGUAUUAUUAUAUAAUAUAAAUUUUUAUAUUACAUAUAUAUAUUAAUAUAUAUAACACAUACGAAUUUGAAAUUGAAUAUCAAAUUAGGCAUUCGAUUCCGAUUUCGCAUUGUGAAUUCGAAAUCCAAAAUUCCGUUUUGAGAAAACAUAUUCUCAAAUUCAAACCAAAUUCGUAUAUUUUGAAAAUAAAAAAAUCCGAUUUCCUUUUUUUUUUGCUUUACCGAUUUCGAGAAUUCCAAAAUUCGAAUCGAAUUCGAUCGAUAAAUCGAUUUUUUUUAAGUUACAUGCUCCUAUAACUCAGAAUGAAUCACUUAUUUAUAUUUAUACUCCACCUACGAAAGGACAUAAGAAUUUAUAACUCUCUUGUAGUAUAAAGCUAAGUUAAAAUAUCUAGCAAGAAAAAAGAAAAAUACACACUUACACUUUUCAUACUUUUCCUCCGUCAUUUCCCUAGAAACAAAACAAGCACCUUUAAUGUAGUAAUAAAAAUAAAAAAAAAUGUUCGGGGGCCAUUACAAAGGGCACAGUAAAUAUACGGGGACACAACCAGAAAUCAAGCCAAAUUUGAGGGCAACAAGGACGCUUAAAUAAUCGCGCUCUCUCUGUCAAAUUAGGGUUCUUAUAUUCACAUUUCUAUUUUCUACACGUUGACAAUUCACACUCUCAACCGUCACUCCUUUCCCCAGCAGAAGCCUAACAGAAUCAAUAAUAAAUUCGUAAGCCCAUUGUGUUUGUUUACAUCAGCACCAUCAUUCAUGUAAAUAUGUGCUUAGUUAUCUAAAAAAUUUUUUUUAGCCCUUAAAUGCUGGAUUGCAUUUCUUGUUUAUUUUCUUAAGCUUCACAAGUCCUCGUGAAUCUUUGGUGGCAGAUGCGGUAUUCUUCAUUUGAGGACUUUUUAUCUCUGGGUUGGUAGUAAUUCUCAUAAAUUUAAAUUUUUUAAUUGCUUCUUUCUUUUUACAUAAUAUGGUACGAAUGAUUGGGAAUUAUUCUGUGCUUAGCUAUUUUUUCAUUUAUUUUAAAAAAUUAUAGCUUGAGAUACAACAGUUAGCGGUUGUAGUCAAGUUUCAUUGAUUUUGUAAUAAUAGUGAAUUAUUACGGGUUAUUACAAUAAAAAUUAUGUUGUCACUGUAUUUUUUAAAUUAUCCCCAAAAAAGGGUAAACAAUAAAAGAAGGCGAUUGGGAAAGCCAUAAAGGAGCCAGACACUGGUAAAGUAAUUUACGGGGCCAAAGAGUAAAAUCAAUAAAAAAAGGGCAUUAUUGCAAAACGGGCACUUAAAUAUCCGUCAGGGUUCUUAUUCGCGUUUGCACACGCAGACGCUUCUCGCUGUCCUUCUCUGUAUUCGUUUAUGAAACCCACAAAAUUAACAAAAAAUUUGUAAGUUCAUUUAUUUUUUAUUUAGCUGUGAAGGAUUUUUCCCCCUGUGAAAUGGAUGAUUUAUUUAUGUUUUAAUUUCUUGAUUUUGAUUGUAGCUUGUGAACCUUUCGUUGCUAAUGCCUUAUUGUGUCUCUCAGGAGUUCUUUAUUUCUUGGUGGUUAUUUCUCCAUAAAGUUUAUAUUUUGUCAUAACAAUUUGUAUCUGGUGAUUGGAUUUUAUUUUGUGCUUAGACUAUUGAAGUUCAAUGAAAUUGUUAGUUCUGGAGCCUGAGUUAUUUUAUUUUAUUUUUUGGCUGGAACUGGUCUGAAACCCGAAUGAAGAUGGAUGUAAAAUUUGUUCCCUAAGUUGGCUGUUAAGGUUUCUUUUGCAUAUGAGUGAACUAUGAAUGAAAAUAAUCCGAAAGUACUUGCACUUGUUCCUUACUUAAGCCCUCGAAUGCCUUUCCUAGUUUUCUUUCUCCUUUGAUCUAUUGAGACAUUGGAUAGUUUGGAUUUUGAACAAGAAAAUCUUGCAAGGGUACUCAAUAUUGAAUCGAUUGGUAUAUUUUGCACAUUAUCUUUUCAUAAGGGUUAGGUUCAUUCCAUAAGUCGACCACUCUCUUUAAAGAUUGUUCCUUUGUAAUAUUUGAUUGCAAGUAAGAAUGCAGCCUAAUACCAAACUUAAUCCAAAAAAACGUUGCUUAGUAUUUAAUUUGUUGUAUGCCUAGUCUGCCAUGCUCUGGUAUAUGCAUGGAAGUCAAUUCCUAGAAUGCUACCAUUUACCAAAACAUUCUUGCGUGUGGUCUUCUUUCCCAAAGCACAUUCAUGCAAAAAAUAUUUAUCAAGCAUGGUAGCCAAUGGCUUCACAUUGGUGGACUGAAAAUUUAUGAGUUGUAAACGGCUUGCAAUACUGGAUGUCAUAUUGUUGAUUAGUCUUCUUAUACCAGUAGGAUUUCCAUAUUCCAGAAUGGGAUGAUAGUCCUUGAAAAUAUGAAUGAGACUGACAUCUUCCCCAUUUCUCUUCUUAAGGUGAGAAGCUCACUGGAAAUAGGAUGUGAAGCUCUACACAGGAAGGAAGGAUUACAUUCAUUUUGCUGCAUUUAGUGCUACAAGUGCCAAAAGGCACUGCUUCACCAGAAAUCAUCCUUCAGUGUUUAUUUUUUUGUAACUAUCUUCAAACCAUGAAGCUUUCUGUAGUUUUCAAAUCCUUGCGUAGCUAUCCCGCUCUUCGUGUGGUUACUGGCCCUCUACAGUCUCGUGCAUUUCAGCCUGAUUUCAUUCUCGGGGACCCAAAUCAAAGCCUGUAAGACACAAGUAUCCUACUUUCUAUGAUCCUUAUGGCCCUAGACCUCAACCUUCAGAUAAGAUCAUUCGGCUUGCAGAACAGAUUGCAGCCUUGUCUCCUGAAGAGCGUAAUUUGAUUGGUCCCACGCUUAGAGACAGACUAAGGCAUCCUAAGAUUCAACCGAUUUUAGUGAAGGGCAUGGACUUGGGUCCUCAGGGAGGGUCUGGUGCUGGGUCUUCAAAGGCUGAGGAGAAGAAGGUUGAAAAAACUGCAUUUGAUGUCAAGUUAGAAAAGUUUGAUGCUGCUGCAAAAAUUAAGGUGAUCAAAGAGGUUCGUGCUUUAACAAAUUUGGGGUUGAAGGAAGCCAAAGAUUUAGUUGAGAAAGUACCAAUUUUAAUUAAGCAAGGUAUCACUAAAGAAGAGGCAAAUGAUAUUAUAGAGAAGAUCAAAACUGUAGGGGGAGUUGUUGUUAUGGAGUAGAUUUUCACCGAGUUUUGUAUGCUUUCUUUGAACUGUUAUCAAAGUUCCAUUGCUAGUUUUUCGCUCUGAUAGAGAAACAACUGCCAUUCUGAAGAUGUUGUUCUUGCAUAUUCAAAAGAAUGAAACUUUCCUUGCUAGUUAGAGGAGGAACAUUAUUAUAUUUUCCUUCAAAUUUGGUUUUCACACUUGAUAUUUUGUGCUGACCCUUAAUGGGAUUUUGGGAUACGGAUGGGCCACCAGGGAAAUUGGCUUAACAGAUGUCUGGUUUGUGUAAAAUUGCUGGUGUAUGAUAUUGGAAUUAUUGCUGAUUUGGCUGUGGUUGCAACUUACAAGUAGUCUGUUUGCUUCAGCAUUUUAACAUGGCGGCUGACUUUUCAGUGGUCGCAAAUGGCCUCUGUCCAUUUUUGAGAUGUCCAAACAGCUACAUUUCAGGCUUUUGCCAGGUAUGGAAAUUUUGGAAUUGAAUUAUGAACUCUUAGCAUGCAAUUUUCACUUAACUGAUCCCAGCAAUUAACAGACCCACACUCUAGUAGAUAACAUUUUUAGCCACUUCAAGCAAUAUUUGAAAAUAUUUCUUGCGCAAAUAUGAGCUGUGUAACCUUCAUUGUUGUAGUCAAAUAGCAUUCCUAAUUGACCAAUUGUUACUGGUCAAUUUGUUCAUCUUAACCUGAAAGCAGUAGUAGAGUAAACAAACAUGAUUGUGGCCCAAGUCUUCAGUUCUUUGGCUAGAUGAUAGUUAAUAUACGAUUAUGGUCUUGAUUCUUCAAUUCUUUGGAUGGAUGGAACUAUUGGGAAAUUGUUCAUUUAAUAAACAUGUUUGGUCUUGAUUCUUCUAGAAAAGAAAGGUAAAUCCUUAAAGGCGAAGGCAAGCUCUUCGAGUGUCGAACCUUGAACAUGCAUGUUACCUUUUUUGCUUUUGGGUGAUGACAGUAGAUAACAUUUCCAUGUGGAGCAUGACCGAGAAAGACAAAGGUCUAGAGAGUGGAUGACUGUGUUCAUUGAUUGAUUUUCCAUUUCCCAAGUUAUUGCAUUAGUUGAUCUUCCAACUUGGUUAAGGUAGUGGUUGAUGACGAAUGAGUUGAGGCUUUCCAAAAAGGAUUUGCAAACGUGGAAUCAUAAUGUGUUAAUUGCGUCCCCAUGUUCCAACUCUUAUCCCUCUUGUGAAAAGCAUAGAUCAAAGGAGAAAGAAAAACUAGGAAAGGCAUUCGAGGGCUUAAGUAAGGAACAAGUGCAAGUACUUUCAGAUUAUUUUCAUUCAUAGUUCACUCAUAUGCAAAAGAAACCUUAACAGCCAACUUAGGGAACAAAUUUUACAUCCAUCUUCAUUCGGGUUUCAGACCAGUUCCAGCCAAAAAAUAAAAUAAAUAACUCUGGCUCCAGAACUAACAAUUUCAUUGAACUUCAAUAGGUCUAAGCACAAAAUAAAAUCCAAUCACCAGAAACAAAUUGUUAUGACAAAAUAUAAACUUUAUGGAGAAAAGCUAACCACCAAGAAAUAAAGAACUCCUGAGAGACACAAUAAGGCAUUAGCAACGAAAGGUUCACAAGCUACAAUCAAGAUUAAGAAAUUAAAACAUAAAUAAAUCAUCCAUUUAACAGGGGGAAAAAGCCUUCAUAGCUAAAAUAAACAAACAACUGAACUUACCAAUUUUUUGUUGAUUUUGUGGGUUGCAUAAACGAAUACAGAGAAGGACAGUGAGAAGUAUCUGCGUGUGCAAACGCGAAUAAGAACCCUGACGGAUAUUUAAGUGCCCGUUUUGCAAUAAUGCCCUUUUUUUAUUGAUUUUACUCUUUGGCCCCGUAAAUUACUUUACUAGUGUCUGGCUCCUUUAUGGCUUUCCCAAUUGCCUUCUUUUAUUGUUUACCCUUUUUUUAGGAUAAUUUCAAAAAUCUAUGAGGUUUCUCGUAAUAUCAUUCAGCUCCUUGAGGUUUGUAAAAUUUUGCUUACCUCCUCUGUGAGUUUGACGAGACUAAAUAUUCUUAUCAAAUGUCAUAAAUUGACAAUAACACCUUUGCUCUUAAUAACUAUUUAACCAAAAAGUCAAAAAGUAAAAUUGUUAAACCAAAAAAUGUAGAUUAAAACAAAAAAUGAAUUGUUAUCUAAUAAUGGUCUAUAUUUCUCUAUAUAGAGAUCGUGGUGGGACAGCAAAAGAUGUGGAUAAAUUAAAUCUAUUUAGAAUCAACCAUUCAGGAGGAUUUUGGUGAGUAAUUAAUACCUUGAAAACUUUCAUAGAUAGUUAUACGAAAGUCAAGAAAUUUUUUGGGGAAAUACAUUUUAAUACAUGAUGUAGUUUAAGUUAUGUUAAAAAUUAAAAAAACUGAAGACUUGGGCCACAAUCAUGUUUAUUUACUCUACUGCUGCUUUCAAGUUAAGAUGAACUAAUUGACUAGUAACAAUUGGUCAAUUAGGAAUGUUAUUCGACCACAACAAUGAAGGUUACACAUCUCAUAUUUGCGCAAGAAAUAUUUUCAAAUAUUGCAUGAAGUGGCUAAAAAUGUUAUCUACUAGAGUGUGGGUCUAUUAAUUGCUGGGGAUCAGUUAAGUGAAAAUCGCAUGUUGAGAGUUCAUAAUUCAAUUCCAAAAUUUCCAUACUUGGCAAAAGCCUGAAAUGUAACUGUUUGGCCAUCUCAAAAAUGGACAGAGGCCAUUUGCGGCCACUGAAAAGUCUGCCACCAUGUUAAAAUGCUGAACCAAACAGACUACUUGUAAGUUGCAACCACAGCUAAAUCAGCAAUAAUUCCAAUAUCAUACACCAGCAAUUUUACACAAACCAGACAUCUGUUAAGCCAAUUCCCCUGGUGGCCCAUCCGUAUCCCAAAAUCCCAUUAAGGGUCAGCACAAAAUAUCAAGUAUGAAAACCAAUUUUGAAGGAAAAUAUAAUAAUGUUCCUCCUCUACCUAGCAAGGAAAGUUUCAUUCUUUUGAAUAUGCAAGAACAACAUCUUCAGAAUGGCAGUUGUUUCUCUAUCAAAGCGAAAAACUGGCAAUAGAACUUUGAUAACAGUUCAAUGAAAGCAUACAAAACUCGGUGAAAAUCUACUCCAUAACAGCAACUCCUCCUACAGCCUUGAUUUUCUCAUUUGCCUCUUCUUUAGUGAUACCUUGCUUAAUUAAAACUGGUACUUACUCAACUAAAUCUUUGGUUUCCUUCAACCCCAAAUUUGUGAAAGCACGAACCUCUUUGAUCACCUUAAUUUUUGCAGCAGCAUCAAACUUUUCUAACUUGACAUCAAAUGCAGUUUUUUCAACCUUUUUCUCCUCAGCCUUUGAAGACAACACCAGACCUCCUGAGGACCCAAGUCCAUGCCCUCCACUAAAACUGGUUGAAUCUUCGAUGUCUUAGUCUGUCUCUAAGCGUGGACCAAUCAAAUUACGCUCUUCAGGAGACAGGGCUGCAAUAUGUUCUGCAAGCCGAAUGAUCUUAUAUGAAGGUGGGGGUCUAGGGCCAUAAGGAUCAUAGAAUGCAGGAUACUUGUGUCUUACGGGCUUUGAUUUGGGAUCGCCUGGGAAUGAAAUCAGGCUGAAAUGCACGAGACUGUAGAGGGCCAGUAACUACACGAAGAGCGGGAUAGCUACGCAAGGAUUUGAAAACUACAGAAAGCUUCAUGGUUUGAAGAUAGUUACAAAAAAUAAACACUGAAGGAUGAUUUCUGGUGAAGCAGUGCCCUUUGGCACUUGUAGUACUAAAUGCAGCAAAUGAAUGUAAUCCUUCCUUCCUGUGUAGAAGCUUCACAUCCUAUUUCCAGUGAGCUUCUCACCUUAAGAAGAGAAAUGGGGAAGAUGUCAAUCUCAUUCAUAUUUUCAGGGACUAUCAUCUCAUUCUGGAAUAUGGAAAUCCUACUGGUAUAGAGAAGACUAAUCGACAAUAUGACAUCCAGUAUUGCAAGCCGUUUACAACUCAUAAAUUUUCAGUCCACCAAUCUGAUGCCAUUGGCUACCAUGCUUGAUAAAUAUCUUUUGCAUGAAUGUGCUUUGGGAGAGAAGACCACAUGCAAGAAUGUUUUGGUAAAUGGUAGCAUUCUAGGAAUUGACUUCCAUGCAUAUACCCAGAGCAUGGCAGACUAGGCAUACAACAAAUCAAUACUAAGCAACGUUUUUUUGGAUUAAGUUUGGUAUUAGGCUGCAUUCUUACUUGCAAUCAAAUAUUACAAAGGAACAAUCUGUAAAGAGAGUGGUCGACUUAUGGAAUGAACCUAACCCUUAUGAAAAGCUAAUGUGCAAAAUAUACCAAUCGAUUCAAUAUUGAGUACCCUUGCAAGAUUUUCUUGUUCAAAAUCCAAAAUAUCCAAUGUCUCAAUAGAUCAAAGGAGAAAGAAAAACUAGGAAAGGCAUUCGAGGGCUUAAGUAAGGAACAAAUGCAAGUACUUUCGGAUUAUUUUCAUUCAUAGUUCACUCAUAUGCAAAAGAAACCUUAACAGCCAACUUAGGGAACAAAUUUUGCAUCCAUCUUCAUUCGGGUUUCAGACCAGUUCCAGCCAAAAAAUAAAAUAAAAUAACUCAAGCGCCAGAACUGACAAUUUCAUUGAACUUCAAUAGGUCUAAACACAAAAUAAAAUCCAAUCACCAGAAACAAAUUGUUAUGACAAAAUAUAAACUUUAUGGAGAAAAGCUAACCACCAAGAAAUAAAGAACUCCUGAGAGACACAAUAAGGCAUUAGCAACGAAAGGUUCACAAGCUACAAUCAAGAUCAAGAAAUUAAAACAUAAAUAAAUCAUCCAUUUAACAGGGGGAAAAAAAGCCUUCAUAGCUAAAUAAACAAACAAAUGAACUUACCAAUUUUUUGUUGAUGUUGUGGGUUGCAUAAACGAAUACAGAGAAGGACAGUGAGAAGUAUCUGCGUGUGCAAACGCGAAUAAGAACCCUGACGGAUAUUUAAGUGCCCGUUUUGCAAUAAUGCCCUUUUUUUAUUGAUUUUACUCUUUGGCCCAUAAAUUAUUUUACCAGUGUCUAGCUCCUUUAUGGCUUUCCCAAUCGCCUUCUUUUAUUGUUUACCCUUUUUUUUUGGGAUAAUUUCAAAAAAUCUAUGAGGUUUCUCGUAAUAUCAUUCAGCUCCUUGAGGUUUGUAAAAUUUUGCUUACCUCCUCUGUGAGUUUGACGAGACUAAAUAUUCUUAUCAAAUGUCAUAAAUUGACAAUAACACCUUUGCUCUUAAUAACUAUUUAACCAAAAAGUCAAAAAGUAAAAUUGUUAAACCAAAAAAUGUAGAUUAAAACAAAAAAUGAAUUGUUAUAUAAUAAUGGUCUAUAUUUCUCUAUAUAGAGAUCGUGGUGGGACAGCAAAAGAUGUGGAUAAAUUAAAUCUAUUUAGAAUCAACCAUUCAGGGGAUUUUGGUGAGUAAUUAAUACCUUGAAAACUUUCAUAGAUAGUUAUACGAAAGUCAAGAAAUUUUUUGGGGAAAUACAUUUUAAUACAUGAUGUAGUUUAAGUUAUGUUAAAAAUUAAAAUAAUCUCUUCAUAUGUGUGAAUUCUUCAAGGUGUAAAUUUUGCUUUGUUCCAAAACAACUAGUUUAAGUUAAAAAAUUUACAACUUAUAAAAAGUUAACCUUAUUUUAUUUUUUAUUGUUGUUGUAAACUUUAUAAAUUAAAUUGUUGUUGUAAACUAAAAUAAAAGUAUUAUCUUUCUUGCAUUUCCUCAAAGGGGCUAAAAUGCUACAAUGAAUGUCAAUUCAAAGGAGUUAAGUGAGAUUUUAAAGACAUCAGGAGAGCUGAGUGAUAUUAUGAGAAACCUCAAGAUAGGUUUCUGAAAUUAUCCCUAGUAAUAGUUAUUUAGGGAAAUGAAAAAGGGAAAGAGAACCCGAGAAUGAAUUAGUAUGUUUUAUUAUUAUUUUUUGAAUUACUUUACAUGUUUUAUUACUUUUUUUCGAAUUUCUUUAUUUAUUGUCUUUUUUUAACUUAAUAAUAAGAGAUGACCCCCAGAUGAGAAGUUCAAGAAUUUGGCCUAUAUUUCUAAUUAACAAUUUAAGGUAGUAUCUAGUACCUCAAUUUUAUUACUCACAAUGCCUCAUCUCUUUCAUGUCCAAUUUCGUGUUCUUUUUUGCUUAAUCCAUUUUUCCUAUCUUUUUUUGUUUGUAAAUAUGUCGAUAGCUAAAUGAGAGUGUGCUACUUGUCGUUUCUUUCUUAUUUUGUGCACCAAGGUAGGAGGUAAAGUAGUACCCAACUGUUAAUUUUGUGCUUAGACUUCUUGCUAUUUAAUAAUUGAUGAUGAUCAUAGAGCAAUGGAAUAAGAAUUAGUACAUGUAAACAAUCUUAACCACUCAGAAGAUCAACUAAGGCACUAACGUCGAAAAUGGCAAAUCAAUAAAUGAAUCAAAGCCAUCCACUACCUUGAGAGCUUUGUCUUUCUUUUUUCAACUUUUACAUGAAAAUGGCACCCUUCGGGCAUCUGCUAUCUUUGGUAAGGACCACCACGCUUGGACCACAAAGAGUAGUACAAUAAGAGAAUUGCAAUAGUUGGAAUUUAUUACUGAUUCUGAUGAAGGUUGGAAUGUAUUACAAUAGAGUAGUACAACAAGUAUAAGUAAUGGUUGGAAUGUGUAACUGGUGUUUGGAUUGCAAAUUUAUCUCAAAUAAUAUUUCGCUUGCAUCAUAAACACAUUUACCAAUCCACCUUUUCAUAUUUUCAAUUAAUUUUUAUCUCACAUACAUCACAUCACAAAAAGUGCUACAUUAAUUAUUUUAAAUAAUAUUUCAAAUGAUACUCUAUCCAAAUACACUAGACACACUCAGUAUUCAAAUAAUUAUUCCAAGGUUUGCAGCAGGAAUAUUUUAUGUGGCAUAACAUUAAUCUAGGCUACUUGCGAGCUAUCCCAUAAACCUGAGGAUUUGCUAUUGAGGCAGAAGACACAAAUGCCCGCUGAAGUUCAACAGAUGAGAAGACCGCUUUAGCAAUAACUUCUCCAGUUUUUCUAGUGAAGUGACAGCCAUCAGCAACAAACUGCUGCAAAGGAUCAAGAAUCCCUUGGAAAAAUCUCCGAAUUGUUCCAUCUGCCAGCAAAACAGACAAAUCAAGGCUUUGACGUUAUAAUUCAGUUAGAUGGAGGUGGCAGAGAAGUUAACAUGAAAUAAAAGCUUUCAUUAUCGCAAAUAGGAAGUACAUCUUUAUUACCUUCUGCUGCUACGUGUUCCACAAACACACAGAGCCCACCUGGCUUUAGCACCCUCAUAAUCUCUGAAAACAAUUACUAGAAUGUGUAUUAGCCCCUGCUAUCUUCUUUUCCACUCGAUAUACACUGAGCAGAACAAACCUAGCCACUGAGGCGUAUAUGACAUGUUCUUCCAACAAGAAGUAGACCAUUCAUAUUUUCUUAAGAAAAAACCUUUAGAUGCUGCAUGCUAAAAUUGUAAAUUUUAUCUACCAAAGUUUGAGUGUCUCAUACAGGAAUUAACCUACCUUGCAGCGCCAAGUCAACAUCUUUGACAGAACAUAGGACAAGUGUGGCCACUACAGCAUCCACAGAUGCAUCACCAAGGGGCAGAGCCUCAGCAACCUGCACAAUUCAAUGGUCAGACACUCCCAUUGCAAAAUUAACUCCGAGGGAUAAAUGAGCUUCAAAUGAGCUGUGACUAAUAAGUCUGCAACAACAGACGGAAGAGGCAUCUAAAGUGGAUCGUUGACCAAUAUCAACACCAAGAAAAUCCUAAGCUCAAGCCAAAAGCAUUUGACAGGAACUAUAUGCAACUGCCUAAUCUCAAACAGACAGAGCAGAUAUCUUGGCAUCUGAUGUCCAAGAUAUAACUUAAAUGAAGGAAAGAAGCUUUCAUAAAUGAAGCAACUGGGUAAAUAAGGUAAGACAGGAAAAGCUCAUAAACGAGGCAUAAAAAUCAUCAUUUCUUGCACCAUAAGAUUAGGUAUGUGCACCAGUCAUAUCAACUUUAGAUGAAAACCAAGCAUGCUAUCGACAUACACAAAUUAGCUUUUGGCUGUGGCCUUCUGAAAACCAAAAUUCAGCUUUCAAACAGUUAAUCAGCCAUGCAAAGAUACUGUUAUCUUGCAGACAUGAAAAAGACAUCGCUAAUAGAAGCCAUCUGAUUCACCAUAGACAGGCUCAUACUGCUUGUGUAAAUUUAAAGUGAACUACGCCUUUCUGGUGGCUGCCGUGCAUUUGCUACUGGUGGUAAUAGAGGUUUUUGCGAAGAAGGGAGUACUUCAGGAGUGUAUCUUCUUGUUAAUGAAGAAGAGAUAAAUGAGCUGCCUAAACGUGAUAACGUAGGCGUCCCAGGAAGUUAAGACUUGGAGAUGGUACACUGCUGUAUAAAUCGAUGGACUGCCUGAUACAAGGAUAUGAGAUACCAAGCAUUAUCAACCAGAGUUUGAACACAGUCCAAGUGAGAUGACUAAUGUAACCAUUUCUCAAAUAUAUAAUCCAGUUGUGCAAGUUUAAAACAAAUUAACAAAGAACCAUUGGAAUUGAUUCUAAAUCUUAAAAGCUAAGAGCCAAAUUAUUUGCAGCUGGUAGAAUUGCACAUGAGGGAGUGAUGGUUGUACUCUUGAUCAAACCAGUAUGUUUUAUCCUCUCCAAAAACAACUGAAAACUGAUGCAAAUAAGAAACGCUGGUACAUGAUUGGAGGAGGAGAGUGGAUCUCUGGCACUUAUUUCAAUCAAAAUAUCUAGCAGACGGUCUAAAAGUUGGUAUAGUUCUGGCCAGAUGUUAUGACACACCAAAGUUAUGGAAAUUGGUUCAGUCUAAAGCCCAUGAAAUGAAUACUCUGGAUGUGGUUUGGAAACUUCUCUUCCAGAAUCAGCGGUUCGAUGAAAGGUAAUAUCCAAAAUAUGGUUUCUACCAUUGAUAAAUGUAGUAACGACAAUACAACUCUUCACUUCCAAAGAUGGUUCACAGGGAUUAACCACCAGUCCCUCAUGACGAAGGAAAAUCUUUUCAAUAGAGGCAGUAGUCAGCAAUAUAAGUGCAUCAUACCAAGUUCCGCUAAGCUGAAGAAGGAUCCAGGGAAGACAUAAAAUGCUCUGGCCUUUUGAUAACAUUACAUAGCCUACCUUAAGCCCAUAGCUAUCCUUUACUGAUGUUACUGGAUCCAUUCAAACUCAUAAACUAUUGAUAUUCAUGGCCGAAACAGAAUGAAAAUACUUGAAGAAGCUCCAAAAUAUGAAUGAUGAAAGCAUUUCAAUCCCAUUUCUAAAUAUCUCUCCUAGCCAAAAAUGAAUAGGUAAAGCUAAACAUCCGGUACCAUAUAAAUAUAACAGCUUUCAAGAAACCAAGUGCUUCACUGCUAAAUACAGAAUCUGCAGAACAAGAACAGAACAAACGUAGAGAACACCAUAGCUAGAUGUAGAAAGAAACAAAUAUAGAUAUGUGCGAUAAGAUGAUACCACCUGUAAAUUUGAGGCCAAGAGGUGGUGAUAGAUUUGCUCUCCGGCCUUUCGUCCUCAUUAUCAUUAGAAUAACUGCUAG
rnacentral:lncRNA from 1 species